UCGGAGGUCCUGGUUCUUAUCUGAUGAUGGUGACGAAUGAUAUCUGCUUGCUCGCGGGCCAAAUUCUUGGUACCUUUGCGCUUGCAUAUGUUCUGAAGUGAAGUCAAAACCAACCAGCCUCUUUUAUACGCAUGUUCUUCUUCUGUACGUACAUUAUAUGUCGUUUAGACGUUCCUAGAUUCUGAAUUUCUGAUCAGCCUGAAGCUUAUUUCUGUGAGAUGUAUUUGCUGCUUAAACUCUCAAGUUUCAUUGUCCACUUAUAAUGCUCAAGCAGUCAAGCUGAAUAGAUUUUGUGAUGUUAAAGUACUCCAUAUGCUAUUUCUGUUUCAGUGUGGUUUCAGUAAUGGACUCGGAGCCUGUUUUUUAAUGCAUUAAUUGAAUCGGAGUCUCAGAAGCUGGACAACUGUAUUUUCUUCAUAUUUUCAUAAUAUAUGACGCGAAUGAAACUUUCAUAUGCAUUUGUUGUUAUUUAUUAUGCCUGCUAGCAUAAUGGAUAACUGAGUACCAAGGCCCGGCAAAUGGGAUCAAUUUGUCUCUAGUUGAUUGAACAGAAAAUGCAGCGGUGUUGAUUGAACAGAAUUUCUGGCGAAGCUUUGUGAUGGGAACACCUGAACAGCAACGAAAUGGCAUCCAUCCGGAUUGCUUGAAAAGGAUGCUACAUCUGCAAUGACCCGAUUGCUUUUAUAUGUGGUAAUGAACCAAGCGACUGAUGUCAUGAGCAUGUUUUUGCUAGUGGAGAAGUAAGGAAAAGAUCCAACGUAGAAUGGAAAGCACGCGGAACAACCGGUUUGUUUAAGCAGUGGUUAUCGAGCAAGAUGGGUGUAAUCUUAUUUUUGCAGUUCCUUCUAAAACAUACUCUCUCCGUCCUAUGGUAUAUGGAGUAUAUUAUACUCCCUCCGUCCUAAAAUAAUUGUCUCAACUUUAUACUAGCUCUAGUACAAAGUUAUACUAAAUUUGAGGCACUUAUUUUGAAACGGAUGGAGGAAUAUGUUAUAGCAUCUCCAGCCGCGCCCCAAGAAGGCCCCCCGGCGAUUUUUCGACCGCCGGCGCCAAAAAAUUGAUCCAGUCACGCCUCCAAGGGCCCAGUUUUCGCCCGCUCGGGCCGAAAUUGGCGCUGGCGGACCCAACCCGAACCCGGCGCGCUGGGGUCGCUCGGGGGCGCCGGGCGAAUUGUUUUUGGCGCGAAGAGCCGCGAGCCAGCCGCGUCAGCGACUCGACUCUCUUCUUGCCGCUUCGUCGUCCUCAUCACCUCGUUUCCCGUGGCGAAUCAAUGCCAAAGCUGAGCGCGCCGGUCAGCCUCCAUUGAUGGUGGCGCAGUGAAGGCCGGGCGACGCGCGUCCCCUCGCCCGCCACGCCACGCGUAACGCGCCAGCCAAGCCUACCACACGGCGCCUCCGCCUAUAUAAGCCGACCACCAGCGCGCCGGAGACACGCACAGAUACUCCACCGUCGACGCGCCCAUUUCUCCCCCUUCCUCCUCUUGCCGUCUCCAGUUCAGAAGAAUGGCCGAGCGCUUCCCAGGCGACGGCGCGGCGGCGAAUGGCUUCGGGCGCCGCCAUCUUCACGAGGACGAGGCUCGCCUCCUUUUCGAGGCCGAGUACCCGGUCCCAUCGGACAUAUGCGGGUGCCCGGGGCUUGGAGGAUCAGCGCCGGCGGCGUGCCGGUGCCACCACCACCCACCGGGGCGCACACGGCGUGCGGAGAUCGCACGUAUCCGCGCAUCCCUGCCGCGGGCGGCGAGGGAGGGGCCACGCUACGUCCCCGACAGCCCGCUCUGGAAGCCCUACUUCCGCCGCCGUCACGCCGAGCAGCUCGAGGCCACCAACGGCGUCGUGCCCUCCGACAGGCUCAACUCCGAGGGUCGGCGCCGGUGGUGGGGCGUGCCCGGCCGCAUGUUGGAGGCCGUCCUCGAGUACAUCGAGGGCGGCAACACGCCGCGCCUCGAGUACCCCGCUCCCCCGUCCUUCUCACGCCGUCGUGGGAGCUCCUGGACGCCGAGGCGCAUGGAGCGGCCCGGGGCGUCCUCCUCCUCGUCCGGCCGCUCGUCGGGCUCUCCCUGCCUCCGCCCCGUCAAGCCGGAGCCCAAGGACACGCCUGUCAGCGCGCGCACCCGCAGCUCCGGCGUCCGCAUCGGCGACUCCACCCCCCUCCAGCCGCUUCGUCCUCGUCGAGCCCAAGCCGGAGCCCGGCCUCCCCGCGGAGUACGAGGAGAUAGCCCGACGUCGCUUCUCCGAUGAGGACGCCCUGCAGUGGGCGCGGGACGACUACCUCCGUGACGAGAUGGUCCAGCAGCGCCGGGCCCUGGAGGAGAUCGCCGUCCGCAAGCGUGGGCGCGAGGAUGAGCACGACAUCGUGAUCCUCGACAGCGACGAUGACGAGGACGCCCCCGGACCGUCCAUCCCGCCGCACCAACCGGGGGAGGGAUGCAGCAGGGACGGCAGCGGCGGAGGCGGGGAUGCCGAUGACGAGGACGACGACAAUGGUGGCGACGACUACACGCGGUUCUACCGCCUCCUCGGCAUGUAGAGCUGCAAAGGCGGGCAGCGGGCGGCGGGGAGCGGCGAGGUAGACGGCGAGGAGCGGCGAUGGAGGCGGCGGGAGCAGCCCGUAGUAGUUUUUUCUUUUUUGUAAAAUAUGUUUAAAUUUGAACGAACUCGCCGAUGUUUGCGUUAAAUUUGAGCCGUGUUUGCGCCGUAUUUAACUUUUUCAAAAAAAAUGGGCGCCGCGACUGGGAGCAUCACGCCCCCAAUGCGCGGUUUAGCGCUGGUGCGCCCUCAGGGGGCGAUUUUUAGCCCCUCCUGGGUGCCAACGGCUGGAGAUGCUCUUACAACCAAUGUACUCAUACAUUGGUGCUAGACUUUCCCUUUAAAUGGCUUAACUCCUCAAAUUAUUCAUGAGUUAAACCGGACCUAGCCAAACUCGUAUCUCAUUUAACUCGUCAAACGUUCAAGCGGUGCAAUGGCUGGUGUUUAUCCGCAGUUGAGUUCUUAGGAUGAGAACGGCCAUCGGGCGGCAGGUGAGAUCUCCGGGAUGGGCUACUACCUCCACCACCACCGGCUCCACAUGUGCGGGGGAUGCCUAUCUUCUGCGAAGGAGAUGACAAAGGAUGCAGAGGAGACAUGCUCCGCGCUUUGUUCUUGCUGCAAAGCUCUCGUACAGAUUUCUUCUUCAUGCGGGUUGAGAACAUACAUACUAGGAGGGAAGAAGGUAUUUAACCGGCCAGUCCUUCCACAUGCGAGCCAUCCAUCCACCCAGUUAUGUAUCUAUCAGGCACCAGGUAGUAGAGUUUUUUUCCUCUGAUUUAGUUGAAGAUGAUGCUGCAGUUUGUUUGCCUGCUGCUGCUAUUUGUUUUGAUUUGGGGGGAGGGCUAGAAGGCUUGCUUGUUGUAGUGUUUGCUGCAUGAGAGAGCAGUGAGGAUUGAGAGAUCACAUGGAUCCAGUGUACAGAUGAGCUUUGGGUGGGGGUAGCAUGGAGAGGAAGGUCACUCGAUGGAGAAGACAUAGUGCAGGGAAUGUUGCUUGGUAUUGCGUGUGCAAUUGUUUUGUUUAGUAUUAUUUCUUAACUGUUAGACAUAUUGGAGAUAUUGCCACAGUAAUAUUUCGCUACUUUUAUGGAUAUAUGGUCUUUUCCAUUUCAUUGCAAAAAUAAUAUCCAUACUUUUUUCCAAUCUUCUAAAAGUAAAAUGUCUGUAGUAUGUUUCGAACAGCUAUAUCACACUUUUAUUUGUAUAGAGCAUGAUUAACUUAACCUAUUGUUGUUACAAAAUAUUUUAAACUGGUCUCAUUGAAUUACUUGGAUCUAUUUUAUAUAUUGUAGGAAAGUGGAUUUGACAAUGACACUAGCUCGGAUGGCGCCACUAAAGUGAUGAUGCUAAUGUAGAGGAGGAGGGAUGUAAAGUUUCAGAGAUUAGAACUUGGUCUCGCCAAAGCUCAUUUAGUGAUAAGGGAGACAAUCCAGACAAAGAACCAGCCCCCACUAACCGAUAAAGAUAAUGUGCUGGUUGGACCAGUGUAUUGGAAUGCCUAUGCAUUUCAGAGGUACGCAAGUCAUUUCGCAUAUAAAUACUUUGCCAUUAGGGUGUGAAAUUGCUAAACUGCCAUCUCUAUAGUUUUUGAGUGGUUAAAAUUCGAGCAUAUAAUCUUCUGUUAAUCAAGGUAUCCAUAUAUUUGACAAAUAAACUAUAGGAGCAGAUUCAAUCUGAUGACAAGCUCCUGUGUGAGACAGAAAAUUGGGCUUGGGGAGUUGCAGUUCAGUUACAUCAUGGAACAAAAAAACAGUUGAGAGUAAAAGGAAAUAUAAAAAUAAAAAGGGAGACGAUAAAAAAUGCGUGGUAGAGAAAAAAGUCCUCAUGCCACCAUGUGAGCUUCAGCUCAUCGCGUUAUAGCUGAAGCAGUUUCCUUUUAGUUCAGGUUCAAGUAGUUGCUGCCCUGCAGUCAUAUGCACUGUCUUUUUAGAUACAUCAUUCAUAUAGGGAGCAAGCUGGCAUUGCUACAUUGAAUAGCAAUGUGCAGAUUUAAUAGGCCAGGGGGAUUAUAACUAAUAGUUAGCUUUUGAGUUUAAAGAAGUAACAAAAGUUAAUAUGUUGACGGAAUAGGCCAUGUCAAUUAGUCCCUCCUCCAAAAUAAGUGUCGUGGUUGGAGUAGUAACUAAUGUUGAUAAAGCGCCACGAUGCUAUGAUAUUUAACAAUCAUCUGAUGACUAAAUAUGCCAUGUUGAUAAGUAACUAUUGACAAAGCGCCACGAUGCUAUGACAUAUAGCAAUAAUUCGUUGACUAAAUAUGCCAUGGUGAUUUGAUUAGUAAAAACAUUGAGCAAAUCUAUCCUAUUAUAAGCUAUUUAGAAUUGCAAUUCAUAUGUUCCUUUUAUAUGGUUUUCUCGUCCAUAUUACAUGAGUAAGCUGGGUAAUUUUGAUUCUAACUUACCUCGUCCAGCAACCGAAAAUUCUGCAAAUCAAAAGGAAGAGCUAGAGAAAACACAACGGAAAUUUUAGUUUUUGUACCAGUUUACUUAGCUCCUUCCAUGAUGAGUCCCCCCGUGAUUGCGGUGUUGUUGUAACAUUCCCAAAGAAUGCGAGAUCGCCCUGUAUAGAGUAGAUGGACAUGUACUUUCGCUUGUUUGUUGAUUCCUUGAUUCUAUUGGAUUUGACUCUUGGUGCUUUGCUGCCAGUGGAUUUUGAAGAGUGAGAUCUCUUUUAUGUCUUUUUUAUAACUUAAUUAGGCCGAUUGUUUCUUGUACAAAGUAAUUGUUAGUACUACUUGUUAUAUACAGGCAAAUAGUUGCUGGAGCCUGAGGUUCUUUACUGAAUGAUUAUAAAUAUAAGAGAAUGAUGAAUUUGUUUUUGCAGAUUUCCCCCUGAUUUCUAUCCUCGAGGAAGUCAUUUCUUGCUUGCUUUCUUUAAUAAUACAAAUUACAUAUUUCUUGCUUAUGAAUAGCUGAUUUCAUCUCUGCUUAUUGCAUGAACAAUAUAUGUACUGCUGGAGCAGUGGAACUUACACAUCAUCAGUACUUGGGUUAGGCAGCAUCAUGGCAAGUAGCUACAAGAGUGGAACAAGUUAAUGUAAAAACACGCUUUUUACUAUGUUUCUCCUGCUUUACUUUCAUGUUUGCGUUGCACUUUACCCAGUGGAUUGAAUUGCCAGAUUCUGCUCAUGUUUCAUUGAUGAUUACCGAAUCGUUCUUUCACAUAGAAACCAAAUUUCAUUUUAAUUCUCCAAUUUUCCUGAAGGAGCAACCUAACAUGUGAAUUCCAACUUUCUGAUUCGAGAUUUUCUAUUCUCCGACAUGAUUUGGUGUAGUCCGAGCUACCUGUCACCUAUGGUCUUUCAUAAAGUUGAAAGUGUUGGUGAACGUAGUAUUUUAAAAAAAUUCCUAUGAUCACGCAAGAUCUAUGUAGGAGAUGCAUAGCAAUGAGAGGGAGAGUGUGUCUAUGUACCCUCGUAGACCGAAAGCGGAAGCGUUUAGUAACGCGGUUGAUGUAGUCGAACGUCUUCGCGAUCCAACCGAACCUAGCACCGAAUGUACGCCACCUCUGUGUUCAGCACACGUUCAGCAUGAUGACGUCCCUCGAGCUCUUGAUCCAAUUGAGGAUGAGGGAGAGUUUGGUCAGCACGACGGCGUGUUGACAGUGAUGAUGAAGUUACCAGUCCAAGGCUUCGCCUAAGCACUACGACGAUAUGACCGAGGUGUGUAACUGUGGAGGAGGCACCACACAUGGCCAAGAGAAGACUUGGUGUGUCUUUGGGGUCCCCCUCCCACGUAUAUAAAGGAGGGGGGAAGAGGAGGCCAGCCCAAGGGAGGCGUGCCAAAGGGGGGAGUCCUACUUGGACUCCCGGUCCAAGUACGAUUCGCCCCCCUUUCCUAUUCUAACUAGGAGAAGGAGGGAAGGAGGNNNNNNNNNNNNNNNNNNNNNNNNNNNNNNNNNNNNNNNNNNNNNNNNNNNNNNNNNNNNNNNNNNNNNNNNNNNNNNNNNNNNNNNNNNNNNNNNNNNNNNNNNNNNNNNNNNNNNNNNNNNNNNNNNNNNNNNNNNNNNNNNNNNNNNNNNNNNNNNNNNNNNNNNNNNNNNNNNNNNNNNNNNNNNNNNNNNNNNNNNNNNNNNNNNNNNNNNNNNNNNNNNNNNNNNNNNNNNNNNNNNNNNNNNNNNNNNNNNNNNNNNNNNNNNNNNNNNNNNNNNNNNNNNNNNNNNNNNNNNNNNNNNNUCUCUCCUUUCCCCUAAAGCCUAUUAAGGCUCACUACUUCCCUGGGGGGUUCCGGUAACCUCCCAGUACUCCGGAAAAUACCCGAAGCACUUCGGAACCAUCCCGGUGUCCGAAUAUAACCUUCCAAUAUAUCGAUCUUUACCUCUCGAACAUUUCGAGACUCCUCCUCAUGUCUGUGAUCUCAUCCGGGACUCCGAACAAACUUCGGUCAUCAAAUCACAUAACUCAUAAUACAAAUUGUCAUCGAACGUUAAGCGUGCGGACCCUACAGGUUCGAAAACUAUGUAGACAUGACCGAGACACAUCUCCGGUCAAUAACCAAUAGCGGAACCUGGAUGCUCAUAUUGGCUCCUACAUAUUCUAUGAAGAUCUUUAUUGGUCAAACCGCAUAACAACAUACGUUAUUCCCUUUGUCAUCGGUAUGUUACUUGCCCGAGAUUCGAUCGUCGGUAUCAUCAUACCUAGUUCAAUAUCGUUAUCUGCAGGUCUCUUUACUCGUUUCGUAAUACAUCAUCCCGUAACUAACUCAUUAGUAACAUUGCUUGCAAGGCUCAUAGUGAUGUGCAUUACCGAGAGGGCCUAGAGAUACCUCUCCGAUACACGGAGUGACAAAUCCUAAUCUUGAUCUAUGCCAACUCAACAAACACCAUCGGAGACACCUGUAGAGCAUCUUUAUAAUUACCCAGUUAUGUUGUGACAUUUGAUAGCACACAAGGUGUUCCUCCGGUAUUCGGGGGUUGCAUAAUCUCAUAGUCAGAGGAACAUGUAUAAGUCAUGAAGAAAGCAAUAGCAAUAAAACUAAACCAUCAUUAUGCUAAGCUAACGGAUGGGUCUUGUCCAUCACAUCAUUCUCUAAUGAUGUGAUCCUAUUCAUCAAAUGACAAUACAUGUCUAUGGUCAGGAAACUUAGCCAUCUUUGAUUAACGAGCUAGUCAACUAGAGGCAUACUAGGGACACUCUGUUUAUUUAUGUAUUCACACAUGUACUAAGUUUCCGGUUAAUACAAUUCUAGCAUGAAUAAUAAACAUUUAUCAUGAUAUAAGGAAAUAUAAAUAACAAUUUUAUUAUUGCCUCUAGGGCAAUUUUCCUUCAGUCUCCCACUUGCACUAGAGUCAAUAAUCUAGUUCACAUCGCCAUGUGAUUUAACACCAAUAGUUCACAUCACCAUGUGACCAACACCCAAAUGGUUUACUAGAGUUAAUAAUCUAGUUCACAUCGCCAUGUGAUUAACACCCAAAGAGUACUAAGGUGUGGUCAUGUUUUGCUUGUGAGAGAAGUUUAGUCAACGGGUCUGCCACAUUCAGAUCCGUAUGUAUUUUGCAAAUUUCUAUGUCUACAAUGCUCUACAUGGGGCUACUCUAACUAAUUGCUCCCACUUUUAAUAUGUAUCCAGAUUGAGACUCAGAGUCAUCCAGACCAGUGUUAAAUCUUGCAUCGAUGUAACUCUUUAUGAUGAAAUCUUUAUCACCUCCAUAACCGAGAAAUAUUUCCGUUGUGCUCUAAGGAUAAUUUUGACUGCUGUCCAGUGAUCUACUCAUGGAUCACUAUUGUACCCCUUUGCCAAACUCAUGGCAAGGUACACAAUAGGUAUGGUAUACAACAUGGCAUACUUUAUAGAACCUAUGGAUGAGGCAUAGGGAAUGACUUUCAUUCUAUCUCUAUCUUUUGCCGUGGUCGGGUUUUGAGUCUUACUCAACUUCAUACCUUACAAUACAGGCAAGAACUCCUUUGACUGUUCCAUUUUGAACCACUUCAAAAUAUUGUCAAGGUAUGUACUCAUUGAAAAAUCUUAUCAAGCGUCUUGAUCUAUCUCUAUAGAUCUUGAUUCCCAAUAUGUAAGCAGCUUCACCGAGGUCUUUCUUUGAAAAACUCCUUUCAAACAGUCCUUUAUGCUUUCCAAAAAAUUCUACAUCAUUUCCGAUCAACAAUAUGUUAUUCACAUAUACUUAUCGAAAGGCUGCAGUGCUCCCACUCACUUUCUUGUAAAUACAGGCUUCACCGCAAGUCUGUAUAAAACUAAUGCUUUGAUCAACUCAUCAAAGCGUAUACUCCAACUCCGAGAGGCUUGCACCAGUCCAUAAAUGGAUCACUGGAGCUUGCACACUUUGUUAGCACCUUUUGGAUCGACAAAACCUUAUGGUUACAUCAUAUACAACUCUUCUUUAAGGUAUCCAUUAAGGAAUGCAGUUUUGACAUCCAUUUGCCAAAUUUCAUAAUCAUAAAAUGCGGCAAUUGCUAACAUGAUUCGGACGGACUUAAGCAUCGCUACGGGUGAGAAGGUCUCAUCGUAGUCAACUCCUUGAACUUGUCGAAAACCUGUCGCAACAAGUCGAGCUUUGUAGAUAGUAACAAUACCGUCAGCGUCAGUCUUCUUCUUGAAGAUCCAUUUAUUCUCUAUGGCUUGCCGAUCAUCGGGAAAGACAACCAAUGUCCACACUUUGUUCUCAUACAUGGAUCCCAUCUCAGAUUUCAUGGCCUCAAGCCAUUUUGCAGAAUCCGGACUCAUCAUCGCUUCCUCAUAGUUCGUAGGUUCGUCAUGGUCAAGUAACAUGACUUCCAGAAUAGGAUUACCGUACCACUCUAGUGCGGAUCUUACUCUGGUUGACCUACGAGGUUCGGUAGUAACUUGAUCAGAAGUUUUGUCGGAGUAAAUAACCAUGGGCAGCCUAGCCGGCUCCCCUGGCCCUUCUGAAAAAAUUACGAGCCGAUUCGGCCCUCAAGAAUCCAAGACACAGGGCCGCCCUCCCCUUGCCGGCUGUCUCCAGGCCAGCUAUCGAAAGGCGGCCCGACUUCAUCCCUCAUGAAGAAAAGCCGCGGGAGGGCCGGCUCCGAGAAGCCGGCCGCGAGAAGGCCGACUCCAAGAAGCCGGCUCUCAUAAAGCGGUCAAGAUCGUACCCUCGAAGUCUGCAUCCACAUAACGGCGAUGUGACGGGGCGUGGCUACAGUGAAGUCUGCCACCCCCGAAUCUCGGAGCACGCCUGGCACAGUGCGCCGUAUGGGUGGCCAUGACCCGUCCGGCGCAGCACUGUUGCCACGUUGACCCUGAUGACAUCCACGACGGGCUACCAGUACGGCCCAAGGGCGGUGGGCCCCUUCGGGCAGAGAGACACCCGAAGGCGGCCAGACCUCCCCCAGUAGGCCCAAGAUAGAGCCGGCUCCCCACAGCCGGCUUGCCACCUCCCUCGAAGAAGACGCCCCAUUAAGGAGACAAUACGCGGUGGGGCUACAGUGAUCGCCCACCGGGCGGCGACACUGUAGCCACGCCCACUUCGGCGAAGCCCUCGCCACCAAGAUUGAGCAACAGUAACCAGCCGCCGACAAGGCCCUGACAGUGGGCCUGCCUGUCGACCAAGGAGCCGGCAGCCGGCGGGACCCACUAGCCGGCGGGCCCCAGCAGCCGGCGCAGAAGCCGGAGAGCGCAGACACACACGGCUGGGCCCCGCGCCCAGCCGGAUUACCAUUGUACCAACGGGGUGUAGGCCUAUAUAAACCCCCCGGGGCAUCCAUGCAAAGGGAGAUCGAUCCCUGCUAGUCUCAGACACCACAUAGGGAGGAGAAGAGAGCAAUCCGUGCCCUUCUUCCUCCUCUCGCCAAACAGCAGAAGAGAGCAAGCCGUGCCCUUCUUCCUCCUCUCGCCAAACAGCCGGCGGGACCCACUAGCCGACGGGCCCCAGCAGCCGGCGCAGAAGCCGGAGAGCGCAGACACAGACGGCUGGGCCCCGCGCCCAACCGGAUUACCAUUGUACCCCCGGGGGGUAGGCCUAUAUAAACCCCCCGGGGCAUCCAUGCAAAGGGAGAUCGAUCCCUGCUAGUCUCAGACACCACAUAGGGAGGAGAAGAGAGCAAGCCGUGCCCUUCUUCCUCCUCUCGCCAAACAGCUCAAGGAGCACAGUGUAGCUACUUGUUCAUCUAGUGACCAUGCGGAGACACCGUAGAGCAGCAGUAGGGGUGUUAUCUCCACGGAGAGCCCCGAAGCUGGGUAAGAUUCGCCGGCAUGCAUGUCUUCGCCUCAUCCCGUUUCCAGGCACCGGCGACGUCUUACUGGCUCCCACAAUGAUAAGCCACCCGUUGGCAUAUGUCGCACCUACCACCCGACAUUUGGCGCCCACCGUGGGGCCAGGUGCACCGCCGUCCGGAGACCUGUUCUGGACGGGAACCCUCUUCCUCCCCCAUGAGCGUAGCCAGCCCGGCACGCCCGAUGGCGCUUGCCACGACGCGCUACAAGGCGUCACCAACAUCUGUGCGGCGAGCAGCCUCGCCGAUCUCCUUGACAAGGCUCUCAUCUCUGACGAGCUCGCCUCCGACGCGGGCACCGACCACCUCGUCAACCUCCUCGGCCAGCUCCACGUCUCCGGCGAGCCUGCCGUGGACUUAGAGUCGGUUGGCUCCACCGAUCCGAUGCCUGUCGACUCCGACACGGCCUCACUCGACAUGUUCCCCACCAACGUCGCAAUCUACAACGACCCGCUUCCCCGGGCCGAUGGCUGCGACGCUAUCACCACCGAGGCGAUGGUCAUCGGCCACGGUGGCACUUCUGACGAGAGCGCGCACGACGCCCUGCACGCGGCGGUCCACGACUUGUCCAUACCCCUCCCGGCCGAUGCCGACGCUGAAGCACUAGAAGCUCGCCGCCUUGCCCUCCUCGCGGAGGUCCGGAAGUUGGUUUCCAUGAGACGCCUCGCUGAGGCCCACCGACGUGAGGCCGACCGCGCUGCCUUUGGCACGCCGCCCCCAGGCGGGCCUAGCCGGGCCGGCGUUGUCAGAAAUGCCGGGCCUUCUACUACCUGACUAUGACAUUCGGCUUGAGAAAUGCCGGUGCCAUUUUCAGCGUUGCAUGCAGAAGUGCCUCCUCAAGCAACUCGGCAGAAAUACCCAUGUCUACGUAGAUGACAUUAUGGUGAAGACGAAGAAGCGCGGCACCUUGCUGGAAGACCUCAAGGAAACAUUUGAGAACCUACGCCGGUUCCAAAUCAAGCUUAACCCCGAGAAAUGAGUGUUCGGAGUGCCAGCCAUCCAGCUCCUAGGCUUCCUGGUCUCCGAACGCGGCAUCGAAUGCAACCCAGUAAAGAUCAAGGCCAUUGAGAGAAUGGCGAUUCCCACCAAACUUCGAGAUGUCCAGAAACCGGAUGCUUGGCCUCCCUGAACCGCUUCAUCAGCCGGCUCAGAGAGAAAGCUCUUCCCCUCUACCGCCUCAUGAAGAAGACCAACCACUUCGAGUGGAAUGACCAAGCCGAUCAAGCUUUUCACGAGCUGAAGAAGAUGCUGGCCAUGCCGCUUGUCCUGGCGGCGCCGACUGAGAAAGAGCCCAUGCUCCUCUACAUUGCCGCAACCAGCCGGGUGGUCAGCACCGUCAUCGUAGUCCAACGCCCAGAAGAAGGCCGAGCCCAGCCGGUCCAGAGGCCGGUGUACUAUUUGAGCGAGGUGCUGUCUACCUCGAAGCAGAACUACCCGCACUACCAGAAGAUGUGCUACGACGUGUACUUCACCGCCAAGAAGCUGAAGCCCUACUUCCAAGAGCAUCCCAUCACGGUUGUAUGCACCGCCCCGCUGGCCGAGAUCAUAGGCAGCCGGGAUGCAUCCGGCCGGGUGGCGAAAUGGGCCAUCGAGCUGGCCCCUAUACGAUCUUCUACCAGCCUCGCACCGCCAUCAAGUCCCAAGCAUUGGCCGACUUCCUCGUCGACUGGGCCGAGACCCAGUACCUACCGCCGGCUCCCGACUCCACUCAUUAGCGCAUGCACUUCGAUGGGUCCAAGAUGCGCACCGGCUUGGGAGCCAGCGUCAUCCUCACCUCUCCCAAAGGCGACAAGCUCAGAUACACGCUGCAAAUUCACUUUGCCGCCUCCAACAACGUGGCCGAGUACGAGGUGCUCAUACACGGGCUCCGGCUUGCCAAAGAACUCAGCAUUCGUCGGAUCCUAUGUUAUGGCGACUCGGACUUGGUGGUCCAUCAAUCAUCCGGCGACUGGGAUGCUAAAGACGCAAAUAUGGCAAGCUACCGCUUCCUCGUUCAGCAGAUCAGUGGGUAUUUUGAAGGAUGCGAGUUCCUCCAUUUACCACGAGCCGACAACGAGCGAGCUGAUGCCCUGGCUCGAAUAGGCUCCACUCGGCAAGCAAUACCAACCAGUGUCUCUCUACAACGCCUCCUCAAGCCGUCUAUCAAGCCGUCUCCAGAGUCCGAUUCCAUCUUCGUGCCGCCUGACCCCGACGCAGCCGGCUCGAAGAACCAAGAAGGUGACCUGGGGACUUCGAUAGUCGGCCAGGGGGUAUCAGCAGGUGGCUCGGGGACUUCCGUAGUUACGUCCGACCCGGGGACUGCCUCACCCGGCUCGGGGACUGCGGUAGUCGGCCCGGAGACUACACCAACACAACAGGCGGCGACCGACUCCAGCAUUUCACCGCCCAGCCCGCCCGCCCUGGUCGCAGUAGCCGUUUUGGCAAUAGAAGAAGUCGCAGCUCCAUCAUGGGCUCAAUCCAUCCUCAAGUUCCUAAUAAACCAGGAUCUGCCGGCUGACGAAGUAGAGGCAAGACAAGUCCAACGCCGAGCCGGAGCAUACACAAUCGUCAAUAGAGAACUCGUCAAGCGCAGUGUCACUGGAGUCCUUCAGCGAUGUGUCGAGCAAGAGAAGGGCAUUGCAAUCCUUAGAGACAUCCACCAAGGAGAAUGCGGCCACCAUGCGGCCUCAAGAUCACUCGUCGCCAAAGCCUUCCGCCAUGGUUUCUUUUGGCCGACUGCUUUGGAUGACGCCAAGGAGUUAGUUAAACAUUGCAAAGGGUGCCAACUUUUCAGCUCCAAGCAACACAUGCCGGCUUCAGCACUCAAGACCAUUCCCCUCACUUGGCCCUUCGCCGUUUGAGGACUGGACAUGGUGGGCCCAUUCAAGACGGCGCGUGGCGGCAUGACACAUCUGCUUGUCGCUGUGGACAAAUUCACCAAAUGGAUUGAGGCAAAGCCGAUCAAGAAGCUGAAUGGGCCGACUGCCGUGACAUUUAUCGCAGAUAUAACAACUCGGUACGGCGUGCCACACAACAUCAUCACCGACAAUGGCACGAAUUUCGCCAAGGGAGCCUUGGCACGUUUCUGCGCGACGCAAGGCAUCCGGUUGGACCUAGCGUCCAUCGCCCACCCGCAGUCAAACGGCCAGGUCGAGCGAGCCAACAGCCUCAUCCUUUCCGGCAUCAAGCCCCGACUGAUUGUACCACUGGAGCGUUCAGCCGGCUGUUGGCUCGAUGAGCUGCCGGCUGUCCUCUGGAGUCUGCGCACUACACCAAACAAGUCAACCGGCUUCACUCCUUUCUUCCUCGUAUAUGGUGCCGAGGCGGUCAUCCCAACUGACACCAAGUUCAACUCGCCUCGGGUAACCAUGUACACGGAAGCCGAGGCCAAGGAAGCAUGAGAAGACGGUGUCGACCUGCUGGAAGAAGGCCGGCUGUUAGCCCUUAGCCGGUCCGACAUCUAUCAGCAGGGCCUGUGCCGCUACCACAGCUGGAAGGUCAAGCCAAGAUCCUUCCAAGAGGGCUAUCUUGUGCUCCGGCUGAUCCAGCAAACAGCCGGCCAGCACAAGCUCUCGGCCCCUUGGGAGGGCCCCUUCGUCAUCAGCAGAGCCUUAGGCAACGACUCCUACUACCUGAUCAACGCGCAGAAGCCGAAGGCACGAAAGAGAGACGACUCCGGCAAGGAGUCGGAACGACCAUGGAACGCCAACCUCCUCCGAAGGUUUUACAGUUGAAAUGCAGUAUGUAUCACGCUAACUUUUGUACUAAGUACGAGACAAUAGGCCCCCCGAGGAGAGCUCGGGGACUGUCAUCUUUUGCCUAUGAAUGAAAAGUAUCAUGCUUAUGGCCUUAUCAUUGCAUUCACUUUUUUCCGUCCGGCACCGAGUUCGACUAGUCGGCCCGGGGACUGGCCGCCUGGAGUUAUAUAGAAGUCCUACCCGCAGUCAGACAAGUAGUAUGCCGGCUCCCAAGCCUUCUCUUGCCAAAAGUCGCAGUUCGAAGAACUGGCUGUCCGGCUGGCAAGAGUUAAGGGCAGGAACGGGUGCCCACACGAAAAACGGCUAGGGACUAACGGACUAAUAUAACAAAAGCCGGUUUUUCUCCCACCGCCGACCGGCUACCAGAGUAGCCGGCCGGCCGGCUUCCAUUCACCUUGCUCCAAUCUAAGAAAGCUCGAGUACUUGCCUUCCCAGAAAGGGAAGGCGGCAAAGGAAACAGCCUAAGGAUAAAAAGCAUACAUGAAUGGAAACCAAACACGCAAUAAUAUUUACAUAAAGUACCUUCAAAAGGCCAGCAUUCAAAAUAGUUCAAAUACACCCCCAGUGGGUGGAACUGCGCAAGUUUAAUAAAGUUGUUCAAAAGGCAACAAGCAGGAAAAAACAAGGACGACAGACUAAGCCAAGGGAGCGACUGGCGAGUCGGGCAGGUCGGUGGAGACGGCAGUGCCGGCUGGAGGAGUGGCCGGCUGGCGAACCUCGGCAUGAUCACCGCCUCCCGCAGAGGGCGCGCUAGCACGCGCCUUGUUGCUGGAGGCACGAUCAGGCUGAGGUUGGCUGCCUGCUUCACUAGUCGGCUCAACGUCUUCGCCGUCCUCUCCUUCGUCGUCUUCGCCUUCAUCACUGGAGGCGAUCUCCUCUGCCGAGUCUUCACCCGCUGCCGGGUCCAGCCCGAACCACUCCUCCGGCUGGGCAACACCGUCGUCAUUGAUCUCAGGAGCAAAGACGCUGAUGUCAGUACACUCGGCGAUCGUCGAAGCGCGCUGAGCGAUAGCCGGCCGCACCUCCUCCUACUCUUCGUCGGCCUCCAGCCGCCAGGUGCGCAGCUGGUCUAGGUUCAGCCCCGGAUACCAGGCUCGGACGAACUCCAGCGCCCGCCCAGCUCCAAGCCGGGCUGCCGACGCCUUCCAGGCCUCGAAGCGGCCAACCGCCACCUCCAGCCAGUCGGCAGUCCGACUCGGGGUGCGGGGAAUCGUCUCGCUUGGCAAGAGGGCGGCCAACACCUGCGCCCCAGCACGCUGGAGGCGGGGGAGCAUACGGUGAGCCGGCUACAGCCGGGCUUGGACCGCCAAGAGCUGCUCCUCAAGCGUCUGGCUCGCGUCCGGCGCAAUUUCAGCCUCAGCCUGCCGGCGUACCUCGCGAUGGGCCUCGAUGGAUUGGGUGGCGAAGACGGAGUAGCUGGGAAAGUAGUUUGCAUAGAGAACAAAAAGCAGCACAAGUCAGAACACAAAUCAGGGAUCAAAGGGAAAGGAGGGAGUGAAGAAGGCGGCUUACCGUCGAUCAGAUCCUCGAUACGGCUGAAGCCCUCGCUCAGCACCUGCUUCGCUUCAGCCCAGCCCGCCGCUUCGGUCUCGAACUCGGCUUUCAGGGCGUCCUCGUUGUCCUGCACCUUCUUCAGGGCCGCCUUGUGGCUCUCCUCCUGGUCGGCCAACUUCUGGACCAGGCGGUCAUGCUCCAGGACCAAGGCGCUGUACUCAGCUUCCUUGGCGCGAAGGGCGGCCUGGGCCCCGCUGAGCUGCUCCCUCAAGUCGGCAUUGGCUCCUGCAAGCAUGAAGACAAAGGAAAAAUUAAUAAGGGGAAGUCGUCAAGGAAGAUCCGACCCAGUUGCUCAGCAAUCGGCCCGAAUCUCGGGGACUACACCUAGUGGGUGUGCUGACGCGCCCCCACAGGAGAUGAACGAGACAAACACGCACUCCGACUGCUGGUCAGGUCCUCAGUUCUCCGGCCCAGCUCCUGAGCCUGGGAGUUGAAGGCGGCUACGCGAAGGUUAUGAUACUCCUGAAAGAUUAUACAGGAGGCAAGGAUAAGUUAAGUUGUCAGAACCUAGUAAGUUCCAAGCCGCCUGCGCAGCGGCCGGCUUGGAACUCGGGGACUACACCCAGUGGGUGCGCUGACGCGCCCCCACGGAAGAAAUCGAAAGAGCAAAAUAACCAAGGACAGAAGACUCACCCGGAUGACGGCCCGCGUCGAGAGAAACUCUUGAGUGUAUCGCUGCAGCGAGGCGGCCUGAGCUUGAAGCCGGUUCCGGACCUCCCGGGCUGCCGCGUUCAGCUCGCCCGUCCCCCCGCUGGGAGUCCACUCAGACGUGCUGAUGCUGGCCACCUCUAGGGCCUCCGCCGUCUGGCUGGCGCCCGCUGCUCGAUGCGGUUCAGGCGCGGAGGUGCCACCCCCUGUGCGCCGGCGCAAUGCCGGCUGCACCUCGAGGCCGGCCCCUGCCGUCGGCUCGCCCCUGGACGGCUGCUCUGGCACCGCAGCUGAUUGGCCGCUUUGGCCCGCUCCAGUCGGCGCCGUCUGCGACGCCCCCUCCACGAAGAUCACGGGGUCCUCCCACCUCUCCAUCACCGGCGGGCCUUGGUCGACCUCCUCCGACGGGGGCACGGGAACAUCGGGGGCACGGCGCGGAGGGGAACAACGAGCAGCGGAGGCCGGUUGUGCGAGGCCUCCGCCUCCGGCUCCGCGGCUGCCGCCUUCGCCUGGGCCUUGGCCGCCGCGUCGGCCUGCUCCUUCAUCGCCUGGGCGGUCCUUCGCUCCGCCGCCUCUCGCUCCUCCCACGCCUCCCGCGCGUUCCGCUUCGUAGCCUCCUUAAGGUCGGCGCGGGGAUUCACGCGGCGGGAGCUUGAGGACCCUCCAGUCGGCCCGACUACGGAGCUGCCAGGACCUCGCUCGAGAGAAAGCGGCGCCCUGUCCGGCAAGAAAAGAAAGGUUUAGAAGAGUUUCGGACGAAGAAGACAAAAAAUAUAUACACAAGACAUUCGACGACUUACGCAGAGAUCGCCUGCGGCUGCUUCACCGCCUUGCAGAAGCGGGCCUUCUUUGCGGCCGCCUCAUCCCGCUUGGUCGCCGCUGUGGAGGCCUUGGAUUUUUUCGGCCGGCUGCCGAAGAAGGUCGACGCGGCUCGGCGCUUCUGCGCACCGCCACGGGCAGCCGGCACGACAGACAAGCCCGCACCUUGAUGAUCGAGCGCCGGCUGGCGGUGCGGGGCGACUUUGACCUCCUCGUCAUCCGGCCAGUCCUCGAAGCUGGCCCCGAGUCCCGCGCCUCCGGCCUCGUCGCCUUCCCCCAUGAUGGCGUCUUCCAUGGCGGCCGCUCCCAGGUCCGGAUCGUCGGCAUCGUCCACCGUGCGGUCGGGGAGGAGCUAGCGCUCUACCCCCGCGGCCCCGGCUGUCGGCUGGAGAAGAGGGUUCUGCAAAAGGCAAACCAAUUGAUCAAGAGUCGGCUAUCAUGAGGCCGGCUACAAAAAAGGAAGAAAAGAAGAAAGAACUUACGGCAGGCGGAGGGUUGGCGCGGGAAUACGGCUCCUUGCCGUAUCGCCAAUCCUCGGCGAGCUUGCAGUUGGAGAUAUAAUUCACCAUGUAAGACACCUCUGCAUGAGGCAUCUCCGUGGUGCUCAGCCGGCACGGGUCGAAGCGGCCGCUCAUUUGGCAGAUCAUGUGAGGCCGGCCUUGGAGCGGAAGAACCCAGCGCUCCAUGAAGGCGACCACCAAGUCGGCUCCGAUCAGGCCCUCCGACUGGAUCAUCACCCGAAGCCGGGAGACGGCUGCGUUCCCGGCCUGAGACAGCGACCUGGCCCGGUAGCUCCACGAAGGCUGCCUCCCAGCCGGCGGGCCGGCUACGUAAGCCGGCAGGUUGACGUAGUCGCCUUGCUGGGAGACGUUCUUCACGUAGAAAUAAGACUUCUGCCAAAGCUUCACCGACUGGAUCAGCGGAAUGGACGGGAACGGAUUGUUCUCGCUCGCCCGCCUCAUGGCAAUGAAGGCUCCGCAGGGGGCGGGCAUGCCCGCGACGACGGUGCCGAGCUUGCUUUGGAAGAACUCCCCCCAGAGCUCGAGCGUGGGGAGAACUCCAAGAAAACCCUCGCACAGGGUGACGAAGGCCGACAGCAGCAUCACCGCGUUGGGCGUGAGGUGAUGCGGCUGGAGGUGGUAGAACUCGAGGAAGGCUCGAAGGAAUCCGCUCGCCUGGAGGCCAAAGCCGCGCAGGCAGUGCGAGCGGAAGAUCACCCGCUCGCCCUCCUCCGGUGCCGGCGAAAUCUCCCUCGCCGGCGCUUGACGAACCCGCACAAGGUCCUCACCGGGCAGACGCCGCGUCCGGCGGAGGAACUCGACGUGGUCCUCGUGGACGUUGGAGCCAUCCCACGAGCUCGACAGCGCCAUGGGAGUGAUGCGGUGGGGAGCAAGACGAAGCGACGGCGGAACGGCGCGGCAAAGAGUUGCUGCGGCGAAGAGAAGAAGGAGGGCGAGAAGGGGCGGAGUGAGGGAGAGCGUGCGAGCCUCUGCCGCUCCCCCUCCUCCUACUACUUAUAGACCGCGCGGCGGAGCCAAGGAGGCACGGCGUGGGGGAACGUGGGGAUCAACUGCGCCCACUCCCCCAUGUCCCGCGAUUAUUGUGCCUUGAUGGCAGAAUAAAAUCGCCACAGGAAGGCGAGCGGUCCAUGUGGGCCGCAGAAGAUCCGCGCUCGGACCGAUGCCUGCGAGUGGCGGGCCCGGGCCUACGACGGCGUCCCAUCAUGCGCGUGCGUUGGCAGGAUUUCCUCGCCACGUGGCCCGCGUUCCCGCCUACGAGAAACGGAGCUUUUCCAAAGACGGCGCGCAUGAGCAAAGCCGACCCCUCGGGAUAGGAAGCUGACCUAGCUUCUCGUCCCUUUGUCAGCCUCGAAGCUCGAUCAGCUUCGGGGACUACUGUCGGAGUAAAUAACCAUGGGUAGCCUAGCCGGCUCCCCCUGGCCCUUCUGGAAAAAUUACGAGCCGAUUCAGCCCUCAAGAAUCCAAGACACAGGGCCGCCCUCCCCUUGCCGGCUGUCUCCAGGCCAGCUAUCGGAAGGUGGCCCGACUUCAGCCCUCAUGAAGAAAAGCCGCGGGAGGGCCGGCUCCGAGAAGCCGGCCGCGAGAAGGCCGACUCCAAGAAGCCGACUCUCAUAAAGCGGUCAAGAUCGUACCCUCAAAGUCUGCAUCCACAUAACGGCGAUGUGACGGGGCGUGGCUACAGUGAAGUCUGCCACCCCCGAAUCCCGGAGCACGCCUGGCACAGUGCGCCGUACGGGUGGCCAUGACCCGUCCGGCGCAGCACUGUUGCCACGUUGACCCUGAUGACAUCCACGACGGGCUACCAGUACGGCCCACGGGCGGUGGGCCCCUUCGGGCAGAGAGAAACCCUAAGGCGGCCAGACCUCCCCCAGUCAGCCCAAGAUAGAGCCAGCUCCCCACAGCCGGCUUGCCACCUCCCUCGAAGAAGACGCCCCAUUAAGGAGACAAGACGCGGUGGGGCUACAGUGAUUGCCCACCGGGCGGCGGCACUGUAGCCAUGCCCACUUCGGCGAAGCCCUCGCCACCAAGAUUGAGCAACAGUAACCAGCCGCCGACAAGGCCCUGACAGUGGGGCCUGCCUGUCGACCAAGGAGCCGGCAGCCGGCGGGACCCACUAGCCGACGGGCCCCAGCAGCCGGCGCAGAAGCCGGAGAGCGCAGACACAGACGGCUGGGCCCCGCGCCCAGCCGGAUUACCAUUGUACCCCCGGGGGUUAGGCCUAUAUAAACCCCCCGGGGCAUCCAUGCAAAGGGAGAUCGAUCCCUGCUAGUCUCAGACACCACAUAGGGAGGAGAAGAGAGCAAGCCAUGCCCUUCUUCCUCCUCUCGCCAAACAGCUCAAGGAGCACCGUGUAGCUACUUGUUCAUCUAGUGACCAUGCGGAGACCCCGCAGAGCAGCAGUAGGGGUGUUAUCUCCAUGGAGAGCCCCGAAGCUGGGUAAGAUUCGCCGGCGUGCAUGUCUUCACGUCAUCCCGUUUCCAGGCACCGGCGACCUCUUACUGGCUCCCACAAUGAUAAGCCACCCGUUGGCAUAUGUCGCACCUACCACCCGACAAGUUUCAUGAUCAUCAUCAUUAGAUUCCUCACUUAUUGGUGUAUGAAUCACUGGAACUGAUUUCUGUGAUGAACUACUUUCCAAUAAGGGAGCAGGUACAAUUACCUCAUCAAGUUCUACUUUCCUCCCGCUCACUUCUUUCGAGAGAAACUCCUUCUCUAGAAAGGAUCCAUUCUUAGCAAUGAAUAUCUUGCCUUCAGAUCUGUGAUAGAAGGUGUACCCAAGAGUCUCCUUUGGGUAUCCUAUGAAGACACAUUUCUCCGAUUUGGGUUUGAGCUUAUAAGGUUGAAGCUUUUUCACAUAAGCAUCACAGCCCCAAACUUUAAGAAAUGAAAGCUUAGGUUUCUUGCCAAACCACAGUUCAUAUGGUGUCAUCUCAAUGGAUUUAGAUGGUGCCCUAUUUAACGUGAAUGCAACCGUCUCUAAAGCAUAACCCUAAAACGAUAGCGGUAAAUCAGUAAGAGACAUCAUAGAUCGCACCAUAUCUAAUAAAGUACGGUUAUGACGUUUGGACACACCAUUACGUUGUGGUGUUCCAUGUGGCGUGAGUUGUGAACCUAUUGUGUUAAAUGAGGGACAAAACUCGUAACUCAAAUAUUCGCUUCUGCGACCAGAUCGCAGAAACUUUAUUUUCUUGUUACGAUGAUUCUCCAAUUCACUCUGAAAUUCUUUGAACUUUUCAAAAUGAUUCAGGCUUGUGUUUCAUUAAGUAGACAUACCCAUAUCUGCUCAAAUUAUCUGUGAAGGUCAGAAAAUAACGAUACCCUCCGCGAGCCUCAACACUCAUUGGACCACAUACAUUAGUAUGUUUUAUUUCCAACAAGUCAGUUGUUCAUUCCAUUGUUCAGGAGAACGGAGUCUUAGUCAUCUUGCCCAUGAGGUAUGGUUCGCAAGCAUCAAGUGAUUCAUAAUCAAGUGAUUCCAAAAGCCCAUCAGCAUGGACUUUCUUCAUGCUCUUUACACCAAUAUGACCUAAAUGGCAGUGCCACAAAUACGUUGCACUAUCAUUAUUAACCUUGCAUCUUUUGGCUUCAAUAUUAUGAAUAUGUGUGUCACUACUAUCGAGAUUCAACAAAACUAGACCGCUCAUUAAGGGUGCAUGACUAUAAAAGAUAUUACUUAUAUAAAUAGAACAACCAUUAUUCUCUGAUUUAAAUGAAUAACCGCCUCGCAUCAAACAAGAUCCGGAUAUAAUGUUCAUGCUCAAUGCUGGCACCAAAUAAUUAUUAUUUAGGUCUAAAACUAAUCCCGACGGUAUAUGUAGAGGUAGCAUGCUGAGGGCGAUCACAUCGACUUUGGAACCAUUUCCCACGCGCAUCGUCAUCUCAUCCUUAGCCAAUCUUUGUUUUAAUCCGUAGCCCCUGUUUCGUGUUGAAAGUAUGAGCAACAGAACAAGUAUCAAAUACCCAGGCGCUACUAUGAGCAUUAGUAAGGUACACAUCAAUAACAUGUAUAUCAAAUAUACCUUUCACUUUGCCAUCCUUCUUAUCCACCAAAUACUUGGGGCAAUUCUGCUUCCAGUGACCAGUCCCUUUGCAGUAGAAGUACUUACUCUCAGGCUUAGGUCCAUACUUGGGCUUCUUCACUUGAGCAGCAACUUGCUUGAUGUUCUUCUUGAAGUUCCCCUUCUUCCCUUUGCCCUUUUUCUUGAAACUAGUGGUCUUGAUAACCAUCAACACUUGAUGCUCCUUUUUGAUUUCUACCUCCGCAGCCUUUAGCAUUGCGAAGAGCUCAGGAAUUGUCUUAUCCAUCCCUUCCAUGUUAUAGUUCACCAUGAAGCUUUUGUAGCUUGGUGGCAGUGAUUGAAGAACUCUAUCAAUGACACUAUCAUCAGGAAGAUUAACUCCUAGUUGAGUCAAGUGGUUGUGGUACCUAGACAUUCUGAGUAUAUGUUCACUGCCAGAACUAUUCUCCUCCAUUUUGCAUCUAUAGAACUUAUUGGAGACUUCAUAUCUCUCAAUUCGGGCAUUUGCUUAAAAUAUUAACUUCAACUCCCGGAACAUCUCAUAUGCUCCAUGACGUUCAAAACAUCUUUGAAUUCCCAAUUCUAAGCCGUAAAGCAUGGCACACUGAACUAUCGAGUAGUCAUCAACUUUGCUCUGCCAGACAUUCACAACGUCCGGAGUUGCUCUUGCAGCGGGUCUUGCACCUAACGGUGCUUCCAGGAUGUAAUUCUUCUGUGUAGCAAUGAGGAUAAUCCUCAAGUUACGGACCCAGUCCGUGUAGUUGCUACCAUCAUCUUUCAACUUAGCUUUCUCUAGGAACGCAUUAAAAUUCAAGGGAAUGGUAGCACGGGCCAUUGAUCUACAACAACAUAGACAUGCAAAUACUAUCAGGUACUAAGUUCAUGAUAAAUUAAAGUUCAAUUAAUCAUAUUACUUAAGAACUCACACUUAGAUAGACAUCACUCUAGUCAUCUAAAUGAUCAUGUGAUCCAUAUCAACUAAACCAUGUCUGAUCAUCACGUGAGAUGGAGUAGUUUUCAAUGGUGAACAUCAGUAUGUUGAUCAUAUCUACUAUAUGAUUCAUGUUCGACCUUUCGGUCUCAGUGUUCCGAGGCCAUAUCUGCAUAUGCGAGGCUUGUCAAGUUAACCCGAGUAUUCUGCACGUGCAAAACUGGCUUGCACCUGUUGUAUGCGAACAUAGAGCUUAUCACACCCGAUCAUCACGUGGUGUCUCGGCACAACGAACUGUAGCAACUGUGCAUACUCAGGGAGAACACUUGUACCUUGAAAUUUAGUGAGAGAUCAUCUUAUAAUGCUACCGCCAUACUAAGCAAAAUAAUAUGCAUAAAGGAUAAACAUCACAUGCAAUCAAAAUAUGUGACAUGAUAUUGUUGGGGAACGCAGUAAUUUCAAAAAAAAUCCUAUGCACAUGCAAGAUCCAUCUAGGUGAUGCAUAGCAACGAGAGGGGAAGAGUAUGUCUGCGUACCCUCGUAGACCAAACGCAGAAGCGUUAUGAAACGCGGUUGAUGUAGUCAAAUGUCUUCGCGAUCCAACCGAUCAAGUACCGAACACACGACACCUCCGCGAUCUGCACACGUUCAGCUCGGUGACGUCCCUUGUCAUCUUGAUCCAGUUGAGGCCGAGGGAGAGUUUCGUCAGCACGACAGUGUGAUGUGAUACCUCUCCCACGUAUCUACUUUUCCCAGCUGCCACGGGUGGGUAGGACAAAAGAUGUCAUGCAAGUUCUUUUCCAUAAGCAUGUAUGACUAUAUUCGGAAUACAUGCCCACAUUACAUUGAUGAACUGGAGCUAGUUCUGUGUCACCCUAUGUUAUAACUGUUGCAUGAGGAAUCACAUUCGACAUAAUUAUCCAUCACUGAUCCAUUUCCUACGAGAUUUUCACAUAUUGAUCUUUGCUUAGUUACUUUUCCGUUGCCACUGUUACGAUUACUACAAAAAACCACUACUAUUACUUUUGCCACCGCUACCGUUACUUCCAUAUUACCUUGCUACUAAAUACUUUGCUGCAGAUAUUAAGUCUUUCAGGUGCGGUUGAAUUGACAACUCAACUGUUAAUACUUGAGAAUAUUCUUUGGCUCCCCUUGUGUCGAAUCAAUAAAUUUGGGUUAAAUACUCUACCCUCAAAAACUGUUGCGAUCCCCUAUACUUGUCGGUUAUCAUGACGUCGGUGAUGAUGAAGUUACCGACGCAGGGCUUCGCCUAAGCACUACAACGAUAUGACCGAGGUGGAAAUCUAUGGAGGGGGGAACCGCACACAGCUAAACAAUCAACUUGUGUGUCUAUGGGGUGCCCCCUCCCCUGUAUAUAAAGGAGUGGAGUAGGGGAGGUCCGACCCUCAUUGGGCACGCCCAAGGGGGGGAGUCGUACUCCCAGUAGGAGUAGGUUUGCCCCCUUCCUAGUAGGAGUAGGAGAANNNNNNNNNNNNNNNNNNNNNNNNNNNNNNNNNNNNNNNNNNNNNNNNNNNNNNNNNNNNNNNNNNNNNNNNNNNNNNNNNNNNNNNNNNNNNNNNNNNNNNNNNNNNNNNNNNNNNNNNNNNNNNNNNNNNNNNNNNNNNNNNNNNNNNNNNNNNNNNNNNNNNNNNNNNNNNNNNNNNNNNNNNNNNNNNNNNNNNNNNNNNNNNNNNNNNNNNNNNNNNNNNNNNNNNNNNNNNNNNNNNNNNNNNNNNNNNNNNNNNNNNNNNNNNNNNNNNNNNNNNNNNNNNNNNNNNNNNNNNNNNNNNNNNNNNNNUGAAGGAAAUAUGCCCUAGAGGCAAUAAUAAAGUUGUUAUUUAUAUUUCCUUAUAUCAUGAUAAAUGUUUAUUAUUCAUGCUAGAAUUGUAUUAACCGGAAACUUAGUACAUGUGUGAAUACAUAGACAAAAUGAGUGUCACUAGUAUGCCUCUACUUGACUAGCUCGUUAAUCAAAGAUGGUUAAGUUUCCUAGCCAUGGACAAAGAGUUGUCAUCUGAUGAACGGGAUCACAUCAUUAGAGAAUGAUGUGAUUGACUUGACCCAUCCGUUAGCUUAGCACGAUGAUCGUUUAGUUUGUUGCUAUUGCUUUCUCCAUAACUUAUACAUGUUCCUAUGAAUAUGAGAUUAUGCAACUCCCAAAUACAGGAGGAACACUUAAUGUGCUAUCAAACGUCACAACGUAACUGGGUGACCAUAAAGAUGCUCUACAGGUGUCUCCGAUGGUGUUUGUUGAGUUGGCAUAGAUCGAGAUUAGGAUUUGUCACUCCGUGUAUAGGAGAGGCAUCUAUGGGCCCUCUCGGUAAUGCACAUCACUAUAAGCCUUGCAAGCAAUGUGACUAAUGAGUUAGUUACGGUAUGUUGCAUUACGGAACGAGUAAAGAGACUUGCCGGUGACAAGAUUGAACUAGGUAUUGAGAUACCGACGAUCGAAUCUCAGGCAAGUAACAUACCGAUGACAAAGGGAACAACGUAUGUUGUUAUGUGGUUUGAUCGAUAAAGAUCUUUGUAGAAUAUGUAGGAACCAAUAUGAGCAUGCAGGUUCCUCUAUUGGUUAUUGACCGGAGAUGAGUCUCAGUCAUGUCUACAUAGUUCUCGAACCCGUAGGGUCCGCACGCUUAACGUUCGGUGACGAUUGGUAUUAUGAGUUUAUGUGUUUUGAUGUACCGAAGGUAGUUAGGAGUCCCAGAUGUGAUCACGAACAUGACGGGAGUCUCAGAAUGGUCGAGACUUGAAGAUUGAUAUAUUGGGCCCUUAGUGGGCUUUAGGGGGGGAGAGAGAGGGCAGUAGCCAGGAGGUGGCGCCCCCCAAGGGUGUCCGAAUUGGACUAGGGGAAGGGGGCAUUGCGCCUCUUUCCCUCUCCCUCCCCCUCUCCUUCCUUCCCCCUCCUAGUAGGACUAGGAAAGGAGGAUUCCUCCCCCCUUGGAGCACCCUCUAGGGCCGGCCGGCCUCCUCCUCCCCUCCUUUAUAUGCGGGGGAGGGGGCACCCCAUAGACACACAAGUUGAUUGUUUAGCCAUGUGUGGUGGCCCCCAUAGAUUUCCACCUCGGUCAUAUCGUUGUAGAGCUUAUGCGAAGCCCUGCGUCGGUAACUUCAUCAUCACCGUCAUCACGCCGUCGUGAUGAUGAAACUCUCCCUCGACCUCAGCUGGAUCUAGAGUUCAUGGGUCAUCACCGAGCUGAAUGUGUGCAGAUCGCGGAGGUGCCGUACCUUCGGUACUAGGAUCGGUCGGAUCGUGAAGACGUACGACUACACCAACCGCGUUGUCAUAACGCUUGCGCUUACGGUCUACGAGGGUACGUGGAAAACACUCUCCCCCCUCAUUUCCAUGCAUCACCUAGAUGGAUCUUGCGUGUGCAUAGGAUUUUUUUUGAAAUUACUGCGUUCCCCAACAGUGGCAUCUGAGCCAGGCCUAUGUGUAGAUGUUAUAUGCAUGAGUAGAACACAAAAGAGUUGUGGGCGCGGGUAUAUACAUAUUGCUUGCCGUCACUAGUUGAUUCUUGAUUUAGCGGUAUUGUUAGAUGAAGCGGCUCAAACCGACAUUACGCGUACGCUUACACGAGACUGGUUCUAUCGACGUGCUUCACACACAGGUGGCUAGUGGGUGUCAGUUUCUCUAACUUUACUUGAAUCAGAUUCAAUGAACAUGGUUCUUUCUAAAGAUCAAAAAGCAAUCACUAUACCGUGUUGUGGUUUUUGAUGCGUAGGUAAGAAUGGUUCUUGCUCAGCCCAUAGCAGGCAUGUAAAACUUGCAACAACAAAGUAGAGGAUGUCUAACUUAUUUUUGCAAGGCAUGUUGUGAUGUGAUAUGGUCAAUACAUGAUGCUAAAUUUUAUUGUAUGAGAUGAUCAUGUUUUGUAACAGAGUUAUCGGCAACUGGCAGGAGCCAUAUGGUUGUCGCAUUAUUGUAUGAAAUGCAAUCGCCAUGUAAUUGCUUUACUUUAUCCCUAAGCGGUAGCGAUAGUCGUAGAAGCAAUAGUUGGCGAGACGACAACGAUGCUUCGAUGGAGAUCAAGGUGUCAAGCCGGUGAUGAUGGUGAUCAUGAUGGUGCUUUGGAGAUGGAGAUCAAAGCCACAAGAUGACGAUGGCCAUAUCAUAUCACUUAUAUUGAUCGCAUGUGAUGUUUAUCCUUUAUGCAUCUUAUUUUGCUUAGUUCGGUAGUAGCAUUAUAAGAUGAUCUCUCACUAAAUUUCAAGUUACAAUUGUUCUCCCUGAGUAUGCACCGUUGCUACAGUUCGUUGUGCCGAGACACCACGUGAUGAUCGGGUGUGAUAAGCUCUACGUUCACAUACAAUGGAUGCAAGCCAGUUUUUGCACAUGCAGAAUAGUCGAGUUAAACUUGAUGAGCCUAGCAUAUGCAGAUAUGGCCUCGGAACACUGAGACCGAAAGGUCCAGCGUGAAUCAUAUAGUAGAUAUGAUCAACAUAGUGAUGUUCACCAUUGAAAACUACUCCAUCUCACGUGAUGAUCGGACAUGGUUUAGUUGAUAUGGAUCACGUGAUCACUUAGAUGAUAAGAGGGAUGUCUAUCUAAGUGGGAGUUCUUAAGUAAUAUGAUUAAUUGAACUUUAAUUUAUCAUGAACUUAGUAACUGAUAGUAUUUUGCAUGUCUAUGUUGUUGUAGAUAGAUGGCCUGUGCUGUUGUUCCAUUGAAUUUUAAUGCAUUCCUAGAGAAAGCUAAGUUGAAAGAUGAUGGUAGCAAUUACACGGACUGGGUCCGUAACUUGAGGAUUAUCCUCAUUGCUGCAUAGAAGAAUUACGUCCUGGAAGCACCGCUAGGUGACAAACCCGCUGCAGGAGCAACACCACAUGUUAUGAACGUCUGGCAGAGCAAAGCUGAUGACUACUCGAUAGUUCAGUGUGCCAUGCUUUAGGCUUAGAACAGGGACUUCAACGACGUUUUGAAUGUCAAGGAGCAUGUGAGAUGUUCCAGGAGUUGAAGUUAAUAUGUAACACCCUCGAUGCGACUAUAUCUCUCACGUGUCGAGGCACGACUUAGAGGCAUAAUCGCAUUGAAGGCAUAUGUCGCAAGUUAGGCAAUCUUCACAACAUCCCAUGUAAUAUAAAUAAUAAAGGGGAGAUAACAUAGUUGGCUUACACUCGCCACGUCAAUCAAGUACAUAAAUAACAUUACAUCAUCCAAACACUCAUGGCCCGACUACGGCGCCAAAAUAAAAGAGAACCCAACAUGCGACACGGUCCCGAUCACCCCUAACUGGGCACCACUACUGAUCAUCACGAAAGGAAACAUAGUAACGUUGAGAGUCUUCGUCGAACUCCCACUUGAGCUCAUAAGCGUCACCUGGAGCGGAAUCAUCAGGCCCUGCAUCUUGUGUAAUAGUAAUCUAUGAGCCACAGGGACUCAGCAAUCUCGCACCCUCGCGAUCAAGACUAUUUAAGCUUAUAGGUAAGGCAAGAUAAAUAUGAGGAGCUGCAGCAAGCGACUAGCAAGAUAUGGUGGCUAACUUAUUCGCAAAAGAGAGCAAGAAGAGGAGGCAAAGCGCGAGCGAGAAACUAGAGAACAACCCGCGCAAACAUUACUCCAACACCGUGUCCACUUCCCGGACUCCGCCGAGAAGAGGCCAUCACGGUAACACACUCAGUUGAUUCAUUUUAAUUAAGUUAAGGUUCAAGUUAUCUACAACCGGAACAUUAACAAAUUCCCAUCUACCCAUAACCGCGGGCACGGCUUUCGAAAGUUCAAAACCCUGCAGGGGAGUCCCAACUUAGCCCAUGACAAGCUCUCAUGGUCAACGAAGGAAUAGACCUCCUCCCAAGACGUUCCGAUCAGACUCGGUAUCUCGGUUCUUCAAGACACUUCGAUAGGUUAAAACAAAUCCAGCAACACCGCCCGAAUGUGCCGACAAAUCCCGAUAGGAGCUGCACAUAUCUCUUUCUCAGGGCACACUCAGAUUGUCUUAGGUACGGGUAGGCCAGCCCAGAGUUGCCCCUGGUGGCCACCGGCAGCUGAUAGGUGGACCAACACUCAGAGGAGCACUGGCCCGGGGGGGGGGGGUUAAAAUAAGAUGACCCUUGAGUCUGCAGAACCCAAGGGAAAGAAAAGGCUAGGUGACAAAUGGUAAAACCAAGGUUGGGCAUUGCUGGAAAAGCUUUAAUCAAGGCUAACUAUCAAGGGGUUCCCAUUAUAACCCAACCGCGUAAGGGACGCAAAAUCCGGGAACAUAACGCCGAUAUGACGGAAACUAGGGAGGCAAGAGUGGAACAAAACACUAGGCAAGAGGCCGAGCCUUCCACCCUUUACCAAGUAUAUAGAUGCAUUAAGAUAAUGAUAUCCCAACAAGUAAAUAAAUGUUCCAACAAGGAACGGCCUCCAAUCUUCACCUGCAACUAGCAACGCUAUAAGAGGGGCUGAGCAAAGCGGUAACAUAGCCAAUCAACGGUUUGCUAGGACAUGGUGGGUUAAAGGUUUGACAUGGCAAUUUGGGAGGCUUGAAAGCAAGUGGUAGGCAUCGUAGCAUUGGCAUAGCAAAAGAGCGAGCAAACUAGCAUAGCAAAGAUAGUAGUGAUUUCGAGGGUAUGAUCAUCUUGCCUGCACAGUUGUCAGAGUUGACUGGAUCCUCGAAAGCAAACUCAACGGGCUCCUCGUUAGCGAACUCGUCUCCCGGCUCUACCCAAACAAGACAAACAAGCAACUAUGGCACAAUCAACCACGUGCAAGACUCAAACGAAACGAUAUGAUGCAAAGAUGAUAUGCUAUGCGGGAUGCGAUGCGGGAUGUAAAAUGCAAGAGAUGACAGGGAAUGCAUGAACCUGGCCUCAACUUGGGAAUCCAAGUGUUCCACUGGAAAGAUGAGAUGAAAUCGCUUGAAAACGAUAUAAAGAACGCCGGAAUCGGAGUUACGGUUUGGAAAUGGCAAGCGACUCAAAAAUGUCACCGGUCUGCGAUUUACAGCAAGUAGGCAUCUAAAUGCAAUAAGAUGAACGUGCUACAACACCCAAACAUGACAACAAAAUACAUGACAGGGAUGCAUUCAAGAUGCUUAACAAAAGUCUAGCACUGAGCUACGGCCAAUUCCUCCAUUAACAUGUUCAAACAAGCAUGGCAAAAAUGCAUACGGCAAACAGAUCUCAGACUUAGUGAAAUUAACACUUGUCUGGAAUUUCAGAUCAGGUAGCACUCUUCGGAGCAACAAAACUACAUGCUACAGGAACUGAACAUGGCAAAGUAAAGCAUGGCAUGGAGCUAAUCAAAGAUAUUAACAAAAGUCCCUUGGUGUCCUUGAGCCAAAAGGGAUCAGAAAACACAAUUGCAAGCAUGUGAACAUAGCAAAAACAUAAUCAGUUUUCACACUUGGUGAAAACUGACACAUGCUGAAAUGUAACUCAAGUAGGCAUGUUUACGAGCUCGAUGCACUCACUACAGAGUAAGUCAUGACAAGACAAGCAUACAUCCAACAAGAAGGCACAAAAUGCAAGCUAUACAUGGCAAGAACAAUAGCAUAUCAUGCACGGAUCAACUACAACAUCAUCGGCAAAAUUGCAAACAAGUUGACAAUCUGCCCAGAUUCACAAAGUAGCAAAAGUAGAGCUCGAUUGACUCAAGCUAGGGUGCUCCAUAAUUGCAAACAAAGACAUGGAUGGAUAUAGAACUACAAUAUUAACAAAACAUCCUUACUGAUCAUCCUCAAAAGAGGCACGGAUCACUAGGAAACAACAUGAACAUAUGGCAUCAUGAGAUAAACAGAUCAAGGAAUUAGUGGAAUUGCUAAGUCCCUGAAAACAGAAUUACCGAGUGCACCACUUUGCAAGCUUGUGCUAGUCACCACACACAUCACAAAAAUACAUGAGUUGCACCUCUGGAAAGAUGACAAAACCCUUAACAAAACAUAUGUAGAGCAUCAGUGCAUAACAUGCACACAUUAAUCAUGGCAAAAAUGACCAAAAGCUAAAUGGAGCAGCAAAUCUGACAAUUAUCUCAAGUAGCCUCCUUCUAACAGCAUUUUGGGCAUCAAGAUGAGCUCAAAUGAAAAUGAUGCAAUGGAAUGAAAUGAUGUACUCUCUGAGUUGAACAUUUUGAUAUGCUAUAUGCAUGAAUCGGAGCUACGGAUGCAAAGUUACGGGGACGAGAACAGGAGCAUAUGGAUCUGUGAUUCCUGGGACUUAGAGAAAAAAUCACCCCGAGAUCUAGGGUUUUGGUAGCACGUGUCCCGAGGCUGGAUCCGAGCUCGCCGGCGUCGUUGGCCGGGGCGGCGGCCGGAGCGGGAGGAAGUGGCCGGCGGGGCACGGUAGGCGGCGGCGGACGGGGGCGGCGGAGCGGCGNNNNNNNNNNNNNNNNNNNNNNNNNNNNNNNNNNNNNNNNNNNNNNNNNNNNNNNNNNNNNNNNNNNNNNNNNNNNNNNNNNNNNNNNNNNNNNNNNNNNNNNNNNNNNNNNNNNNNNNNNNNNNNNNNNNNNNNNNNNNNNNNNNNNNNNNNNNNNNNNNNNNNNNNNNNNNNNNNNNNNNNNNNNNNNNNNNNNNNNNNNNNNNNNNNNNNNNNNNNNNNNNNNNNNNNNNNNNNNNNNNNNNNNNNNNNNNNNNNNNNNNNNNNNNNNNNNNNNNNNNNNNNNNNNNNNNNNNNNNNNNNNNNNNNNNNNNNNNNNNNNNNNNNNNNNNNNNNNNNNNNNNNNNNNNNNNNNNNNNNNNNNNNNNNNNNNNNNNNNNNNNNNNNNNNNNNNNNNNNNNNNNNNNNNNNNNNNNNNNNNNNGCGGCGGAGCGGACGCGUCCGGCCGGAUUCGGACGUGUCCGGCCGGUGCGGGGGCGAUUUCUAGGGUUUGAGAUGGAGGAGAUCCGCGAAUUUCGGGAGGGGGCUUUAAAUAGAGGUAGAGGGAGCUAGGAGAGUCCAAAUGAGGUGCGAUUUUCGGCCACACGAUCGUGAUCGAAUGCUCUAGAUGAUGGAGAAGGCUUAGGUGGAUUUUGGGACAAAUUGGAGGGGUGUUGGGCUGCAACACACACGAGGCCUUUUCGGUCCCUCGGUUAACCGUUGGAGUAUCAAACAAAGUCCAAAUGAUACGAAACUUGACAGGCGGUCUACCGGUAGUAAACCAAGGCCGCUUGGCAAGUCUCGGUCCAAUCCAGAAAUGUUUAAUCCCCACACACGAAAGAAGGCUAGAAAUGACCACCGGAGGAGAACGAAGCGCCGGAAUGCAAAACGGACAACGGGGAAAAUGCUCGAAUGCAUGAGACGAACACGUAUGCAAAUGCAGUGCACAUGAUGACAUGAUGUGAGAUGCAUGACAACGACAACAACACAUGGAGACAAAAACCCGAACCCGAGAAAAUAAAAUAACUUAACACCGGAAACGGCAAGAGUUGGAGUACAAAUUGGGAAAGUUACAUCCGGGGUGUUACAACACUCCACCACUAAGAAAGGAUCUCGUCCCGAGAUCUAGGACUAAAAGAAUGCCGGGUACUCAGAACGGAGGUGAUCCUCGCGUUCCCAGGUAGCUUCACGGUCGGAAUGAUGUGACCACUUGACUUUGAGAAAUUUGAUUGACUUGUUGCGAGUCUUGCGUUCAGUCUCUUCAAGAAUAGCAACUGGGUGCUCACGAUAAGAGAGAUCUUCUUGGAGCUCAAUGUCCUCGAAGUUGAAGGUUCGGUCAGGAGUCUUGAAGCACUUUCAAAGCUGAGAGACAUGGAACACGUCAUGAACAUUUGCAAAGUUUGAAGGAAGUUCGAGUUGAUAGGCGAGGUCGCCUCUCUUGCUGACAAUCUUGAAAGGUCCCACGUAUCUAGGGGCAAGCUUCCCUUUGAUACCGAAGCAACGAGUACCUUUCAUAGGAGAGACGCGGAGGUAAACAUGAUCUCCGAUCUCGAAAGCCAAAUCACGGUGAUUACUAUCAUAGUAGCUCUUCUGAGGGGAUUGGGCUGCUUUGAGGUUAUCUCGAAUGACUUUGCACAUUUCCUCUGCCUCUGUGAUUAAGUCAUUGCCCAGAAGCUGACGUUCACCGGUUUCAGACCAGUUGAGAGGGGUACGACACUUCCUGCCAUACAAAAUUUCAAAUGGGGCCUUGCCCGAACUUGCUUGAAAACUGUUGUUGUAGGAGAAUUCAGCAUAAGGAAGACAAUCCUCCCACUUCAUGCCGAAGGAGAUCACACAAGCCCUGAGCAUAUGUUCAAGAAUCUGGUUGACAUGCUCGACUUGACCGCUAGUUUGAGGAUGGAAAGCUGUGCUGAAAUGGAUGUUGGUGCCCAUGGCCUUCUGGAAAGAAUCCCAAAACUUUGAGGUAAAGAUGCUGCCAUGGUCUGAAGAGAUCACUUGAGGAAUACCGUGCAGUGAGACAAUUCGAGAGGUAUAGAGUUUCGCCAAUUGAGCUGCAGUGAUCGACUCUUUGAUAGGCAUAAAGUGAGCCACUUUAGUGAGUUUGUUGAUGACAAUGAAUAUAGCAUCAUUGCCACGCUUGGACUUUGGAAACCCAGUCACGAAGUCCAUUUCAAUGUGGUCAAACUUCCAUUCUGGAAUGGCAAGAGGUUGGAGGAGACCUGCUGGCCUUUGGUGUUCUGCCUUCACUCUUCUGCAGACAUCACAUUCAUUCACGAAUUGAGCAAUCUCGCGCUUCAUUCGAGUCCACCAAAAAUCCUGCUUGAGGUCCUGAUACAUCUUCGUGCUCCCAGGGUGAAUGGAGAGGAGAGAAUUGUGAGCCUUGUUCAUGAUCACUUUACGGAGGUCACCUUUGGGUACAACAAUACGACCCUCGAAGAAGAGAGUGUCCUUGUCAUCAAGGUGGUAGCACUUGUACUUGGGUUGAUUCUUGGCAAUCCCAAUCUUCACCUUUUUCACCAUAGCAUCAAGAAGCUGGGCUUGGCGAAUCUGGUCUUCCAAAGUAGGAGAGACUUGAAGGUUGGCGAGGAAACCUUGAGGAACAACUUGCAGAUUAAGUUUGCGGAAGGCUUCACAAAGCUCGGGUUGAUAAGGCUUAAGAAUUAGACUGUUGUACUAAGCUUCCUGCUCAAUGCGUCAACAAUCACAUUGGCCUUGCCUGGAGUAUACUCGAUACUCGGAUUAUACUCUUGAAUCAUUUCGACCCAUCGAGUUUGCCUGAGGUUGAGAUUAGGCUAAGUGAAAAUGUACUUGAGACUCUUGUGAUCAGUGAAAAUGUCCACUAUUCUUCCCAAUAAGAGAUGUCUCCAUGUCAAAAGAGCAUGCACAACUGCCACCAACUUGAGAUCAUGAGUGGGGUAGUUCUUCUCAUUAGGCUUCAACUGGUGAGAAGUAUAAGCAACAACUUUCUUCUCUUGCAUCAAUACUGCGCCAAGACCUUGGAGAGAGGCAUCACAAAGGAUCUCGUACGGCUUGGAUUCAUCAGGCGGAGUCAGAACUGGAGCAGUGAUCAAUUUCUCUUUCAAAGUGUUGAAAGCAAUGUCACACUCCGGAGACCAAACGUACUUGACGUGCUUCUGGAGAAGAUUUGAAAGAGGCUUCGCGAUCUUAGAAAAGUUUUCAACGAAUCUUCGGCAAUAGCUUGCGAGACCGAGAAAACUACGGAGUUGCUUCACGUUUUGAGGAGGUUCCCAAUUCACAAUUGCAGACACCUUCUCAGGAUUCACGGCAAUGCCCUUGGCGGAGAUGAUAUGACCAAGAUAAAGAACCUCAUCGAGCCAAAAUUCACACUUGGAGAACUUGGCGUAGAACUGAUGUUCCCUUAGCUUAUCGAGAACCAAACGCAAGUGCUUGGCAUGAUCUUCCUUGUUCUUCGAGAAAACCAGAAUGUCGUCGAGAUAGACCAAAACGAAGUCAUUGGUGUAGGCAUUGAAGAUGAAGUUCAUCAUGCGAGAGAACAUCGGAGGGGCGUUGACGAGGCCAAAAGACAUGACAGUGUAUUCAUAUGAACCAAAGCUUGUCCUGAAAGCCGUCUUGGGAAUAUCUUGCUCACGGACUCGAAUCUGAUGAUAGCCCAUACGAAGAUCAAGUUUGGAGAAUACUUGGGCACCUUUGAGUUGUUCGAAAAGCUUAUUGAUGUUGGGAAGUGGGUAUUUGUUCUUGAUGGUCUUCUUGUUCACUGGACGGUAAUCAACACAAAGUCGGUCCGUGCCAUCCUUCUUCUUCACAAAAAGAACACCACAACCCCACGGAGAAGAAUUAGGCCGGAUGAGACCCAUUCUCUCUUGAAUAUCAAGUUGCUUCUUCAGCUCCUUCAACUCUUCAGGUCCGAGCUUGUAAGGACGUUUGCACACAGGUUCCUUGCCAGGCUCAAGAUCAAUAACGAAUUCAACUGGCCGGUGCGGAGGCAUUCCUGGAAGCUCUUAUGGAAAGACAUCUUGAUAUUCGCAAACGAAUGGAAUUUGAGAGAUAGCAUCCAAUUCACCCUUCUCAUUGAGAGAAAACAGACGGAUGGUAUCAUCACGAGCGGCUAAGACAAUUACAUCCUCAGACGAAUGAGUCAAUUGAAUCUGCCUGGCUGCACAAUCAAGCUGAGCCUUGUGCUUAGAAAGCCAAUCCAUUCCGAGAAUAAGAUCAAUGUUCGAGUUACCUAGAACCGUAGGAGAAGCCAGAAACUUGUAGUCACCCAAGGUGAUAGUAACAUCCGAAGCAAUGGAGUUAGCAUGCAUGCGCCUACCGGGAGAUACAACUGCUAAUGGACUAGGCAAAAUUUGCAAAGGCAAACCAUGUUUAGAUGAAAACGGUCUCGAGAUGAAACAAUGCGAUGCACCCGUGUCAAAAAGAACUUUAGCUGGAACAUCGUUAAUAGGAAGGUUACCCAUGAUGACAUCUAACGAGUCCUCUGCCUGGGCUGCGUUCAUCAAAUUGACCUUGCCGUGCUUGGGGUUAUGCUUGACUACAGCUGUACUUGUCGAUCUGACAGGAGGAGGAGGAGGAAGACGCCUCUGGUUGAAACACUUGUUGGCAUAGUGACCCUUCUGUUGGCACUUGUUGCACAUGACCUCUGAAAGUGGACGGUGAUACGGAGCACUCGAUCUUGGAGCUUGAGACGAAGUCUUGUUCUGAAAGCCAGGGUUGGGUGGGUGGGAAGAACCACUGCCACCUUUGCUCUUCUGCUGAUACGGCUGGCGGAAUGGAGGAGGAGGAAGCCAAUACUUCUGCUGCUUGGCCACUUGAGUAGAGGAAGAAGGAGUAGCAUCUCUGACUCACUUCUUGGAAGCAUCACACCUCAACUGAGCAGCCUCUUGCUUCAGUGCCAUGUUGUAGAACUCAUCGUAUCUCAAGGGCUCGAAGAGAACAAGAGCUAGCUGAAUUUCUUCUCUGAGACCACCCCUGAACUGGUAUAUCAUGCUCUUCUCAUGAGGGACGUCCUGCUUAGCAAAGCGGGUGAGCUUCUGAAACAACUUGUUGUAGUCAUAGACAGACAAAGAGCCUUGCUUCAGGUUGCGGAAUUCCUAACGCUUGCUUUCAACCAUGCUCUGGGGAAUAUGAUGAGCUCGGAAAUCUCGACGGAAAUCAUCCCAAGUGAUAACACGUCCACCUCUGGAAUCCUUGUAUUGCUGGAACCAUUCUGCAGCUUGAUCUUUGAGUUGGAAGGAAGUGAACUUGACAAAGUCCUCAGGCCUAACGUUACUGCACUCGAAAUGCUUGCACAGAUCCACAAGCCAAUCGUCAGCAUCGGUUGCCUCAACACAAUUGCUGAAAGUCUUUGGCCCGUUAGCAAGGAACUGGUUGAGUGUAGCAAAGUGAUUCUGAUUGCUGCCUUGAUUCCCUUGGUUGCCUUGAUUGCGCUCUUGAAGAAUUUGCAUGAUCAACUGUGUGUUUGCAUUGGUUGCGGCCAUCAUAGCUUGCCAUGCCUCUGGAGGAGGUGGAGGUGGUGGCGGAUUAGGAUUCAGAGUCAUGCGCGUUGGAGGAUCCAUCCUGAAGAGGUUGACCACCAUUAGCACAUUGACAGAUAAAUAUUGAAGCUGAAUCCAACGGAAUGAAAAUUUCAACAUAUAGUCUUCACAUCCGAACAAAAUGAACGAAUUCAUUCCUCUUGAAAUGGUCACAUAUCCAUAAAUUGAGAAGCCACGUAGAAUUAAGGUAGAGAAAUAAAUCAGCAAGGUACGGAUCAAGAACGAAUAAUCGGUACGAAAUCCCAAUCUCAAACCAAUAUCCGUGGAAGAAGAACUAGAGCUACUAGAAUUCCCACCUAUGAAACUCCCGAACCUUUCCGGUUAUGCAAUCAGGUGUUGGGGAUACAGGGGAAGCAUAAUAUCUCACCCAAACUAGCAAAUCCUACAUCCAGCUGUAUCCAUCCUUCAACACAUAACCAAGAAACCUUCGGAAACCAUCUACCACAACCUUCGAAAAGCAUCCGUUAUACAAGUUAUGGCGAUAUUCCCGAACUCCCGCCCCAGUACUGGGUGGCGUCGAGGUUAUCUCAGCAACGAACUGCAUAAAAGAUAUUUUCGAUGUUUGCGUACUAAACUCAGGUAUUCCAGAACUGCAAUGAUAAAAUUAUGAUGACAACACCUCAGAGCUCAACUCCCCGGGACACUUCCACUAAACCCCUGACAGGAGGCACCAAGACAAUGUUCUCAUCAUAAAACCAUUGGAAUGAUUCCAAUAUACCCGUGUGAUCCUAAAUUUUUUUUAGUGAAAUUUGAGAAGAGAAGAGUCAAAACUCUACGUCAGGAUGCCUUACCAGAGUGAUGAGGAGACUGGGAAGUAAAAAGAAUUCCUAAACUCUCUGAUAUAUAAUUCCUAAAUGACUCAAAACAUUUUUCUAGACACAACUCGGCCACUAAGAACGAUCAAGCAAUGGGGCUCCUAAGGUCGGGGAAGGCUCUGAUACCAACUUGUAACACCCUCGAUGCGACUAUAUCUCUCACGUGUCGAGGCACGACUUAGAGGCAUAAUCGCAUUGAAGGCAUAUGUCGCAAGUUAGGCAAUCUUCACAACAUCCCAUGUAAUAUAAAUAAUAAAGGGGAGAUAACAUAGUUGGCUUACACUCGCCACGUCAAUCAAGUACAUAAAUAACAUUACAUCAUCCAAACACUCAUGGCCCGACUAUGGCGCCCAAAUAAAAGAGAACCCAACAUGCGACACGGUCCCGAUCACCCCCAACUGAGCACCACUACUGAUCAUCAGGAAAGGAAACAUAGUAACGUUGAGAGUCUUCGUCGAACUCCCACUUGAGCUCAUAAGCAUCACCUGGAGCGGAAUCAUCAGGCCCUGCAUCUUGUGUAAUAGUAAUCUGUGAGCCACAGGGAUUCAGCAAUCUCGCACCCUCGCGAUCAAGACUAUUUAAGCUUAUAGGUAAGGCAAGAUAAAUAUGUGGAGCUGCAGCAAGAGACUAGCAAGAUAUGGUGGCUAACUUAUUCGCAAAAGAGAUCGAGAAGAGGAGGCAAAGCGCGAGCGAGAAACUAGAGAACAACCUGCGCAAACAUUACUCCAACACCGUGUCCACUUCCCGAACUCCGCUGAGAAGAGGCCAUCACAGUAACACACUCAGUUGAUUCAUUUUAAUUAAGUUAAGGUUCAAGUUAUCUACAACCGGAACAUUAACAAAUUCCCAUCUGCCCAUAACCGCGGGCACGGCUUUCGAAAGUUCAAAAUCCUGCAGGGGAGUCCCAACUUAGCCCAUGACAAGCUUUCGCGGUCAACGAAGGAAUAGACCUCCUCCCAAGACGUUCCGAUCAGACUCGGUAUAUCGGUUCUUCAAGACACUUCGACAGGUUAAAACAAAUCCAGCAACACCGCCCAAAUGUGCCGACAAAUCCCGAUAGGAGCUGCACAUAUCUCUUUCUUAGGGCACACUCAGAUUGUCUUAGGUACGGGUAGGCCAGCCCAGAGUUGCCCCUGGUGGCCACCGGCAGCUGACAGGUGGACCAACACUCAGAGGAGCACUGGCCCGGGGGGGGGGGUUAAAAUAAGAUGACCCUUGAGUCUGCAGAACCCAAGGGAAAGAAAAGGCUAGGUGACAAAUGGUAAACCAAGGUUGGGCAUUGCUGGAAAAGCUUUAAUCAAGGCGAACUAUCAAGGGGUUCCCAUUAUAACCCAACCGCGUAAGGGACGCAAAAUCCGGGAACAUAACGCCGAUAUGACGGAAACUAGGGAGGCAAGAGUGGAACAAAACACUAGGCGAGAGGCCGAGCCUUCCACCCUUUACCAAGUAUAUAGAUGCAUUAAGAUAACAAGAUAAUAUAAUGAUAUCCCAACAAGUAAAUAAAUGUUCCAACAAGGAACGGCCUCCAAUCUUCACCUGCAACUAGCAACGCUAUAAGAGGGGCUGAGCAAAGCGGUAACAUAGCCAAUGAACGGUUUGCUAGGACAAGGUGGGUUAAAGGUUUGACAUGGAAAUUUGGGAGGCUUGAAAGCAAGUGGUAGGCAUCGUAGCAUUGGCAUAGCAAAAGAGCGAGCAAACUAGCAUAACAAAGAUAGUAGUGAUUUCGAGGGUAUGAUCAUCUUGCCUGCACAGUUGUCAGAGUUGACUGGAUCCUCGAAAGCAAACUCAACAGGCUCCUCGUUAGCGAACUUGUCUCCCGGCUCUACCCAAACAAGACAAACAAGCAACAAAGGCACAAUCAACAACGUGCAAGACUCAAACGAAACGAUAUGAUGCAAAGAUGAUAUGUUAUGCGGGAUGCGAUGCGGGAUGUAAAAUGCAAGAGAUGAUAGGGAAUGCAUGAACCUGGCCUCAACUUGGGAAUCCAAGUGUGCCACUGGAAAGAUUAGAUGAAAUCACUUGAAAACAAUAUAAAGAACGCCGGAAUCGGAGUUACGGUUUGGAAAUGGCAAGCGACUCAAAAAUGACACUGGUCUGUGAUUUACAGCAAAUAGGCAUCUUAAUGCAAUGAGAUGAACGUACUACAUCACCCAAACAUGACAACAAAAUACAUGACAGGUAUGCAUUCAAGAUGCUUAACAAAAGUCUAGCACUGAGCUACGGCCAAUUCAUUCAUUAACAGGUUCAAACAAGCAUGGCAAAAAUGCAUACGGCAAACAGAUCUUAGACUUAGUGAAAUUAACACUUGUCUGGAAUUUCAGAUCAGGUAGCACUCUUCGGAGCAACAAAACUACAUGCUACAGGAACUGAACAUGGCAAAGUAAAGCAUGGCAUGGAGCUACUCAAAGAUCUUAACAAAAGUCCCUUAGUGACCUUGAGCCAAAAGGGAUCAGAAAACACAAUUGCAAGCAUGUGAACAUAGAAAAAACAUAAUCAGUUUUUAGACUUAGUGAAAACUGACAAAUGCUGAAAUGUAACUCAAGUAGGCAUGUUUACGAGCUCGAUGCACUCACUACAGAGUAAGUCAUGACAAUACAAGCAUACAUCCAUCAAGAAGGCACAAAAUUCAAGCUAGAAAUGGCAAGAACAAUAGCAUAGCAUGCACGGAUCAACUACAACAUCAUCGGCAAAAUUGCAAACAAGUUGACAAUCUACCCAGAUUCACAAAGUAGCAAAAGUAGAGCUCGAUUGACUCAAGCUAGGUUGCUCCAUAAUUGCAAACAAAGACAUGGAUGGAUAGAGCACUACAAUAUUAACAAAACAUCCUUACUGAUCAUCCUCAAAAGAAGCACGGAUCACUAGGAAACAACAUGAACAUAUGGCAUCAUGAGAUAAACAGAUCAAGGACUUAGUGGAAUUGCUAAGUCCCUGAAAACAGAAUUACCGAGUGCACCACUUUGCAAGCUUGUGCUAGUCACCACACACAUCACAAAAAUACAUGGGUUGCACCUCUCGAAAGAUGACAAAACCCUUAACAAAACAUAUGUAGAGCAUCAGUGCAUAACAUGCACACAUUAAUCAUGGCAAAAAUGACAAAAAGCUAAAUGGAGCAGCAGAUCUGACAAUUAUCUCAAGUAGCCUCCUUCUAACAGCAUUUUGGGAGUCAAGAUGAGCUCAAAUGAAAAUGAUGCAAUGGAAUGAAAUGAUGUACUCUCUGAGAUGAACAUUUUGAUAUGCUAUAUGCAUGAAUCGGAGCUACGGAUGCAAAGUUACGGGGCCGAGAACAGGAGCAUAUGGAUCUGUGAUUGCUGGGACUUAGAGAAAAAAUCACCUCGAGAUCUAGGGUUUCGGUGGCAUGCGUCCUGAGGCUGGAUCCGAGCUCGCCGACGUCAUUGGCCGGGGCGGCGGCCGGAGCGGGAGGAAGAGGCCGGCGGGGCGCGGUAGGCGGCGGCGGACGGGGGCGGCAGAGGCGGCGGCCCACGGCGAGGCGNNNNNNNNNNNNNNNNNNNNNNNNNNNNNNNNNNNNNNNNNNNNNNNNNNNNNNNNNNNNNNNNNNNNNNNNNNNNNNNNNNNNNNNNNNNNNNNNNNNNNNNNNNNNNNNNNNNNNNNNNNNNNNNNNNNNNNNNNNNNNNNNNNNNNNNNNNNNNNNNNNNNNNNNNNNNNNNNNNNNNNNNNNNNNNNNNNNNNNNNNNNNNNNNNNNNNNNNNNNNNNNNNNNNNNNNNNNNNNNNNNNNNNNNNNNNNNNNNNNNNNNNNNNNNNNNNNNNNNNNNNNNNNNNNNNNNNNNNNNNNNNNNNNNNNNNNGACACGUGGCGCCUUCCGGUUGUUGCGGCGGCGGAGCGGACGCGUCCGGCCGGAUUCGGACGUGUCCGGCCGGUGCGGGGGCGAUUUCUAGGGUUCGAGAGGGAGGAGAUCCGCGAAUUUCGGGAGGGGGCUUUAAAUAGAGGUAGAGGAAGCUAGGAGACUCCAAAUGAGGUGCGGUUUUCGGCCACGCGAUCGUGAUCGAAUGCUCUAGAUGAUGGAGAAGGCUUAGGUGGGUUUUGGGCCAAAUUGGAGGGGUGUUGGGCUGCAACACACACGAGGCCUUUUCGGUCCCUCGGUUAACCGUUGGAGUAUCAAACGAAGUCCAAAUGAUACGAAACUUGACAGGCGGUCUACCAGUAGUAAACCAAGGCCGCUUGGCAAGUCUUGGUCCAAUCCGGAAAUGUUUAAUCCCCACACACGAAAGAAAGCUAGAAAUGACCACUGGAGGAGAACGAAGCGCCGGAAUGCAAAACGGACAACGGGGAAAAUGCUCGAAUGCAUGAGACGAACACAUAUGCAAAUGCAGUGCACAUGAUGACAUGAUAUGAGAUGCAUGACAACGACAACAACACACGGAGACAAAAACCCGAACCUGAGAAAAUAAAAUAACUUAACGCCAGAAACGGCAAGAGUUGGAGUACAAAUUGGGAAAGUUACAUCCGGGGUGUUACAUAAUAUUUCAAGCAAAUGCCCGAAUUGAGAGAUAUGAAGUCUCCAAUAAGUUCUACAGCUGAAAAAUGGAGGAGAAUAGUUCUGUGAGUGAACAUAUACUCAGAAUGUCUGGGUACCACAACCACUUGACUCAGCUGGGAGUUAAUCUUCCUGAUGAUAGUGUCAUUUAUAGAGUUCUUCAAUCACUGCCACCAAGCUACAAGAGCUUCGUGAUGAACUAUAAUAUGCAAGGGAUGGAUAAGAAAAUUCUCGAGCUCUUCCCAAUGCUAAAGGCUGCGGAGGUAGAAAUCAAGAAGGAGCAUCAAGUGCUGAUGGUCAACAAGACCACUACUUUCAAGCAAAAGGGUAAAGGGAAAAAGGGGAACUUCAAGAAGAAUGGCAAGCAAAUUGCUGCUCAAGUGAAGAAGCCCAAGUCUGGACCUAAGCCUGAGACUGAGUGCUUCUGCUGCAAAGGGACUGGUCACUGGAAGCGGAACUGCCCCAAGUAUUUGGCAGAUAAGAAGGAUGGCAAAGUGAAAGGUAUAUUUGAUAUACAUGUUAUUGAUGUGUACCUUACUAAUGCUCGCAGUAGCGCAUGGGUAUUUGAUACUGGUUCUGUUGCUAAUAUUUGCAACUCGAAACAGGGACUACAGAUUAAGCGAAGAUUGUCUAAGGACGAUGUGACAAUGUGAAGAAAAUAUGCCCUAGAGGCAAGAAUAAAGUUAUUAUUUAUUUACUUAUAUCAUGGUAAAUGUUUAUUAUUCAUGCUAGAAUUGUAUUAACCAGAAACUUAGUACACGUGUGAAUACAUAGACAAACAGAGUGUCACUAGUAUGCCUAUACUUGGCUAGCUCGUUGAAUCAAAGGUGGUUAACUUUCCUAGCCAUAGACAUGAGUUGUCAUUUGAUUAACGGGAUCACAUCACUGGAGAAUGACGUGAUUGACUUGACCCAUUCCAUUAGCUUAGCACGAUGAUCGUUUAGUUUGUUGCUACUGCUUUCUUCAUGACUUAUACAUGUUCCUCUGACUAUGAGAUUAUGCAACUCACGAAUACCGGAGGAACACUUUGUGUUCUACCAAACGUCACAAUGUAACUGGGUGAUUAUAAAGGUGCUCUACAGGUGUCUCCGAUGGUACUUGUUGAGUUGGCAUAGAUUGAGAUUACGAUUUGUCACUCUGAUUGCCGGAGAGGUAUCUCUGGGCCCUCUCGGUAAUGCACAUCACUAUAAGCCUUGCAAGCAAUGUGACUAAUGAGUUAGUUGCGGGAUGAUGCAUUAUGGAACAAGUAAAGAGACUUGCCGGUAACAAGGUUGAACUAGGUAUUAAGAUACCAACGAUCGAAUCUCGGGCAAGUAACAUACCGAUGACAAAGGAAACAACAUAUGUUGUUAUGCGGUUUGACCGAUAAAGAUCUUCGUAGAAUAUGUAGGAGCCAAUAUGAGCAUCCAGGUUCCGAUGUUGGUUAUUGACCAGAGAUGAGUCUCGGUCAUGUCUACAUAGUUCUCGAACCCAUAGGGUCCGCGUGCUUAACGUUCGGUGACGAUCGAUAUUAUGAGUUUAUGUGUUUUGAUGUACUGAAGGUUGUUUGGAGUCCCGGAUGAGAUCAGGGACAUGACGAGGAAUCUCGAAAUGUUCGAGACAUAAAGAUUGAUAUAUUGGAAGGCUAUAUUCGGAUAUCAGAAAGGUUUUGAGUGGUUCGGGUAUUUAUCGGAGUACCGAGGAGUUACGGGAAUUCGCCGGGGAGUAUAUGGGCCUUAUUUUUCUUUAGGGGAGAGAGAGAGGGGCUCUCUGGGGCAGGCCGCGCGCCCCCCAAGGCCUAGUCCGAAUUGGACUAGGGGGAGGGGCGGCGCCCCCUCCUUCCUUCUCUUCUCUCUUCCCCUUCCUUCUCUCCUACUCCUACUACAUGGAAUGGGGGGGGGGGGAAUCCUACUCCCGGUGGGAGUAGGACUCCCCAGGACGCGCCAUAGCAGAGGGCCAGCCCUCCCCCUCCUCCACUCCUUUAUAUACGGGGGAAGGGGGCACCCCAUAUACACACAAGUUGAUCAUUGAUCUUUAGCCGUGUGCGGUGCCCCCCUCCACCAUAAUCCACCUCGGUAAUAUCAUAGCGGUGCUUAGGCGAAGCCCUGUUCCGGUAGCAACAUCAUCACCAUCAUCACGCCGUCGUGCUGACGAAGCUCUCCCUCGAAGCUUUACUGGAUCGUGAGUUCGCGAGACGUCACCGAGCCGAACGUGUGCAGAUCGCGGAGGUGCCAUAUCUUCGGUACUAGAUCGGUCGAUCGUGAAGACGUACGACUGCAUCAACCGCAUUGUCAUAGCGCUUCCGCUUACGGUCUACGAGGGUACGUAGACGACACUCUCCCCUCUUGUUGCUAUGCAUCACCAUGAUCUUGCGUGUGCGUAGGAUUUUUUUUGAAAUUACUAUGUUCCCCAACACGAUGCGCAUGGGAAAUGGUUCAAAGUCGAUGUGAUCUCCAUCGGCACGCUACCUCUACAUCUACCUUCAGGAUUAGUAUUAGACCUAAAUAAUUGUUAUUUGGUGCCAGCGUUAAGCAUGAAGAUUAUAUCUGGAUCUUGUUUGAUGCGAGACAGUUAUUCAUAUAAAUUAGAGAAUAAUGGUUGUUCUAUUUAUAUGAGUAAUAUCUUUUAUGGUCAAGCACCCUUGAUGAGUGGUCUAUUUUUACUAAAUCUUGAUAGUAGUGAUACACAUAUUCAUAGUAUUGAAGCCAAAAGAUAUAAGUUUAAUAAUGAUAAUGCAACUUAUUUGUGGCACUACCAUUUAGGUCAUAUUCGUAUAAAGCGCAUGAAGAAACUCCAUGCUAAUGGGCUUUUGGAAUCACUUGAUUAUGAAUCACUUGAUGCUUGCGAACCAUGCCUCAUGGGCAAGAUGACUAAGACUCUGUUCUCCGGGACAAUGGAGCAAGCAACAGACUUGUUGGAAAUAAUACAUACUGAUGUAUGCGGUCCAAUGAGUGUUGAUGCUCGUGGCGGGUAUCAUUAUUUUCUUACCUUCACAGUUGAUUUGAGCAGAUAUGGGUAUAUCUACUUGAUGAAACAUAAGUCUGAAACAUUUGAAAAGUUCAAAGAAUUUCAGAGUGAAGUGGAAAAUCAUCAUAACAAGAAAAUUAAGUUUCUAUGAUCUGAUCGUGGAGCUAAAUAUUUGAGUUAUGAGUUUGGUCUUCAUUUGAAACAAUGCGGAAUAAUUUCACAACUCACGCCACCUGGAACACCACAGCGUAAGGGUGUGCCCGAACAUCGUAACCACACUUUAUUAGAUAUGGUGCGAUCUAUGAUGUCUCUUACCGACUUACCGCUAUCGUUUUGGGGUUAUGGUUUAGAGACGGCUGCAUUCACGUUAAAUAGGGCACCAUCGAAAUCCGUUGAGACAACACCUUAUGAACUGUGGUUUGGCAAGAAACCCAAGACUGUUGGGUACACCUUCUAUCAGAGAUCUGAAGGCAAGAUAUUCGUUGCUAAGAAUGGAUCCUUUCUAGAGAAGGAGUUUCUCUCGAAAGAAGUGAGUGGGAGGAAAGUAGAACUUGAUGAGGUAACUAUACCUUCUCCCUUAUUGGAAAGAAUUUCAUCACAAAAAUCAGUUCCAGUGAUUCCUACACCAGUAAGUGACGAAGCUAAUGAUGAUGAUCAUGAAACUUCUGAUCAAGUUACUACUGAAUCUCGUAAGUCAACCAGAGUAAGAUCCUCACCAGAGUGGUACAGUAAUCCUGUUCUAGAGGUCAUGUUACUUCACCAUGAUGAACCUACGAAGUAUGAGGAAGCGAUGAUGAGCCCAGAUUCCGCAAAAUGGCUUAAGGCCAUGAAAUCUGAGAUGGGAUCCAUGUGUUAGAACAAAGUGUGGACUUUGGUUGACUUGCCCGAUGAUCGGCAAGCCAUAGAGAAUAAAUGGAUCUUCAAGAAGAAGACUAACGCUGACGGUAAUGUAACUGUCUACGGAGCUCAACUUGUUGCGAAAGCUUUUCGACAAGUUCAAGGAGUUGACUACAAUGAGACCUUCUCACAUGUAGCGAUGCUUAAGUCCGUCCGAAUCAUGUUAGCAAUUGCCGCAUUUUAUGAUUAUGAAAUUUGGCAAAUGGAUGUCAAAACUGCAUUCCUUAGUGGAUAUCUUAAAGAAGAGUUGUAUAUGAUGCAACCAUAAGGUUUUGUCGAUCCAAAAGGUGCUAACAAAGUGUGCAAGCUCCAGCGAUCCAUUUAUGCACUGGUGCAAGCCUCUCAGAAUUGGAAUAUACGCUUUGAUAGUGUGAUCAAAGCAUAUGGUUUUAUACAGACUUUUGGAGAAGUCUGUAUUUACAAGAAAGUGAGUGGGAGCUCUAUAGCAUUUCUGAUAUUAUAUGUGGAUGACAUAUUGUUGAUCGGAAAUGAUACUGAAUUUCUAAAUAGCAUAAAAGGAUACUUGAAUAAGAAUUUUUCAAUGAAAGACCUCGGUGAAGCUGCAUAUAUAUUGGGCAUCAAGAUCUAUAGAGAUAGAUCAAGACGCUUAAUUGGACUUUCACAAAGCACAUACCUUGAUAAAGUUUUGAAGAAGUUCAAAAUGGAUCAAGCAAGGAAAGGGUUCUUGCCUGUGUUACAAGGUGUGAAGUUGAGUCAGACUCAAUACCCUACCACUGCAGAAGAUAGAGAGAAAAUGGAAGUCAUUCCCUAUGCUUCAAACAUAGGUUCUAUCAUGUAUGUAAUGCUGUGUACCAGACCUGAUGUGUGCCUUGCUAUUAGUUUAGUAGGGAGGGUACUAAAGUAAUCCAGGAGUGGAUCACUGGACAACGGUCAAGAACAUCCUGAAAUACCUAAAAAGGACUAAGGAUAUGUUUCUCGUUUAUGGAGGUGACAAAGAGCUCAUCGUAAACGGUUACGUCGAUGCAAGCUUUGACACUGAUUCGGAUGACUCUAAGUCACAAACCGGAUACAUAUUUUUACUAAAUGGUGGAGCUGUCAGUUGGUGCAGUUCCAAGCAGAGCGUCGUGGAGGGAUCUAUGCGUGAAGCAGAGUACAUAUUUGUUUCGGAAGCAGCCAAUGAAGGAGUCUGGAUGAAGGAGUUCAUAUCUGAUCUAGGUGUCAUACCUAGUGCAUCGGGUUCAAUGAAAAAUCUUUUGUGACAACACUGGUGCAAUUGCCUUGGCAAAGGAAUCUAGAUUUCACAAGAGAACCAUGCACAUCAAAAGACGCUUCAAUUCCAUCUGCGAUCAAGUCAAGGAGGGAGAUAGAGAUUUGCAAGAUACAUACGGAUCUGAAUGUUGCAGACCCAUUGACUAAGCCUCUCCCACGAGCAAAACAUGAUCAACACCAAGACUCCAUGGGUGUUAGAAUCAUUACUAUGUAAUCUAGAUUAUUGACUCUAGUGCAAGUGGGAGACUGAAGGAAAUAUGUCCUAGAGGCAAUAAUAAAGUUGUUAUUUAUAUUUCCUUAUAUCAUGAUAAAUGUUUAUUAUUCAUGCUAGAAUUGUAUUAACCAGAAACUUAGUUCAUGUGUGAAUACAUAGACAAAAUGAGUGUCACUAGUAUGCCUACUUGACUAGCUCGUUAAUCAAAUAUGGUUAAGUUUCCUAGCCACGGACAAAGAGUUGUCAUUUGAUUAACGGGAUCACAUCAUUAGAGAAUGAUGUGAUUGACUUGACCCAUCCAUUAGCUUAGCACGAUGAUCGUUUAGUUUGUUGUUGUUGCUUUCUCCAUAACUUAUACAUGUUCUUAUGACUAUGAGAUUAUGCAACUCCCGAAUACCGGAGGAACACUUAGUGUGCUAUCAAAUGUCACAACAUAACUGGGUGACCAUAAAGAUGCUCUACAGGUGUCUCCGAUGGUGUUUGUUGAGUUGGCAUAGAUCAAGAUUAGGAUUUGUCACUUCGUGUAUCGGAGAGGUAUCUCUGGGCCCUCUCAGUAAUGCAGAUCAGUAUAAGCGUUGCAAGCAAUGUGACUAAUGAGUUAGUUACGAGAUGUUGCAUUACGGAACGAGUAAAGAGACUUUUUGGUAACGAGAUUGAACUAGGUAUUGAGAUACUGACGAUCGAAUCUCGGGAAAGUAACAUACCGAUGACAAAGCAAACAAUGUAUGUUGUUAUGCGGUUUGACCGAUAAAGAUCUUCGUAGAAUAUGUAGGAACCAAUAUGAGCAUCCAGGUACCGCUAUUGGUUAUUUACCGGAGAUGAGUCUCGGUCAUGUCUACAUAGUUCUCGAACCCGUAGGGUCCGCACGCUUAACAUUCGGUGACGAUCGGUAUUAUGAGUUUAUGUGUUUUGAUGUACCGAAGGUAGUUUGGAGUCCCGAAUGUGAUCACGUACAUGAUGAGGAGUCUCGGAAUGGUCGAUACAUGAAGAUUGAUAUAUUGGACGACUAUGUUCGGACACCGGAAGUGUUCCAGGAGGUUUCAGAUAAAACAGGAGUGCCGGAGGGUUACCGGAACCCCCCGGGAAGUUAUUGGGCCCUUAGUGGGCUUUAGGGGAGAGAGAGGGCAGCAGCCAGGAGGUGGCGCCCCCCAAGGGAGUCCGAAUUGGACCAGGGGAAGGGGGCGCGACCCCUCUCCCCCCUCUCCUUCCUUCCCCCUCCUAGCAGGACUAGGAAAGGAGGAAUCCUACUCCUACUAGGAGGAGGAUUUCCCCCCUUGGCGCGCCCUCUAGGGCCAGCCGGCCUCCUCCUCCCCUCCUUUAUAUAUGGGGGAGGGGCACCCCAUAGACACACAAGUUGAUUGUUUAGCCGUGUGCGGUGCCCCCCUCCACAGCUUUCCACCUCGGUCAUAUCGUUGUAGAGCUUAGGCGAAGCCCUGCGUUGGUAACUUCAUCAUCACCGUCAUCACACCAUCGUGAUGACGAAACUCUCCCUCGACCUCAGCUGGAUCUAGAGUUCGUGGGAUGUCACCGAGCUGAACGUGUGCAGAUCGUGGAGGUGCCGUACCUUCCACCUCAGUCAUAUCAUUGUAGAGCUUAGGCGAAGCCCUGCGUCGGUAACUUCAUCAUCACCGUCAUCAUGCCAUCGUGCUGACGAAACUCUCCCUCGACCUUAGCUGGAUCUAGAGUUCAUGGGACGUCACCGAGCUGAACGUGUGCAGAUCGCGGAGGUGCCGUACCUUCGGUACUAGGAUCAAUCGGAUCGUGAAGACGUACGACUACAUCAAUCGCGUUGUCAUAAUGCUUCCGCUUACGGUCUAUGAGGGUACGUGGACAACACUCUCCCCUCUCGUUGCUAUGCAUCACCUAGAUGGAUCUUACGUGUGCGUAGGAUUUUUUUUGACAUUACGGCGUUCCCCAACACUCGAUACUCCAGAAAAUGCCCGAACUCAUCCAGAACUAUUUUGAUGUCCAAACAUAGCCUUCCAAUAUAUUGAUCUUUAUGGCUUGACCAUUUUGAGACUCCUCGUCAUGUCCGUGAUCACAUCCGGGACUCCGAACUACCUUUGGUACAUCAAAACACAUAAACUCAUAAUAUCGAUCGUCAUCGAACGUUAAGCGUGCGGACCCUAUGGGUUCGAGAACUAUGUAGACAUGACCGAGACUCACUUCCGGUCAAUAACCAAUAGCGGAACCUGGAUGCUCAUAUUGGUUCCUACAUAUUCUACAAAGAUCUUUAUCGGUCAAACCACAUAAAAACAUAUGUUGUUCCCUUUGUCAUCGGUAUGUUACUUGCCCAAUAUUUGAUCGUCGGUAUCUCAAUACCUAGUUCAAUCUCAUUACCGGCAAGUCUCUUUACUUAUUCCGUAAUGCAUCAUCCCGCAACUAACUCAUUAGUCACAUUGCUUGCAAGGCUUAUAGUGAUGUGCAUUACCAAGAGGGCCCAGAGAUACCUCUCCGAUACUCGGAGUUACAAAUCCUAAUCUUGAUCUAUGCCAACUCAACAAACACUAUCGGAGACACCUGUAGAGCAUUUUUAUAGUCACCCAGUUAUGUUGUGAUGUUUGAUAGCACACUAAGUGUUUCUCCGGUAUUCGGGAGUUGCAUAAUCUCAUAGUCAUAGGAGCAUGUACAAGUUAUGGAGAAAGCAAUAGUAACAAACUAAACGUUCAUAGUGCUAAGCUAACAAAUGGGUCAAGUCAAUCACAUCAUUCUUUAAUGAUGUGAUAUCUUUCAUCAAAUGACAACUCAUGUCUAUGGUUUGGAAACUUAACCAUCUUUGAUUAACGAGCUAGUCAAGUAGAGGCAUACUAGUGACACUCUGUCUGUCUAUGUAUUCACACAUGUACUAAGUUUCCGGUUAAUACAAUUCUAGCAUGAAUAAUAAACAUUUAUCAUGAUAUAAGGAAAUAUAAAUAACAACUUUAUUAUUGCCUCUAGGGAAUAUUUCCUUCAGUCUCCCACUUGCACUAGAGUCAAUAAUCUAGAUUAUACAGUAAUGAUUCUAACACCCGUGGAGUCUUGGUGUUGAUCAUGUUUUGCUCAUGAGAGAGGCUUAGUCAACGGGUGUGCAACAUUUAGAUCCACAUGUAUCUUGCAAAUUUCUAUGUCUCCCUCCUUGACUUGAUCGCGGAUGGAAUUGAAGCAUCUCUUGAUGUGCUUGGUUUUCUUGUGAAAUCUGGAUUCUUUUGCCAAGGCAAUUGCACUAGUAUUGUUACAAAAGAUUUUCAUUGGACCCGAUGCACUAGGUAUGACACCUAGAUCGGAUAUGAAUUCCUUCAUCCAAACUCCUUCAUUUGCUACUUCCGAUGUAGCUAUGUACUCCGCUUCACACGUAGAUCCCGCCACGACACUCUGCUUAGAACUGCACCAAUUGACAACUCCACCAUUUAAUAAAAAUACGUAUCCGGUUUGUGACUUAGAUUCAUCUGGAUCAGUGUCAAAGCUUGCAUCGACGUAACCAUUUACGGCAAGCUCUUUGUCACCUCCAUAAAUGAGAAACAUAUCCUUAGUCCUUUUUAGGUAUUUCAGGAUAUUCUUGACCGCUGUCCAGUGAUCCACUCCCGGAUUACUUUGGUACCUCCCUGCUAAACUGAUAGCAAGGUACACAUCAGGUCUGGUACACAACAUUGCAUACAUGAUAGAACCUAUGGCUGAAGCAUAGGGAAUGACUUUCAUUUUCUCUCUCUCUCUUCUGCUUUGGUCGGGCAUUGAGUCUAACUCAACUCCACACCUUGUAACACAGGCAAGAACCCUUUCUUUGCUUGAUCUAUUUUGAACUUCUUCAAAACUAUAUCAAGGUAUGUGCUUUGUGAAAGUCCAAUUAAGCGUCUUGAUCUAUCUCUAUAGAUCUUAAUGCCGAAUAUAUAAGCAGCUUCACCGAAGCCUUUCAUUGAAAAAUUCUUAUUCAAGUAUCCUUUUAUGCUAUUUAGAAAUUUAGUAUCAUUUCUGAUCAACAAUAUGUCAUCUACAUAUAAUAUCAGAAAUGCUACAGAGCUCCCACUCACUUUCUUGUAAAUACAUGCUUCUCCAAAAGUCUGUAUAAAACCAUAUGCUUUGAUCACACUAUCAAAGCGUAUAUUCCAACUCCGAGAGGCUUGCACCAGUCCAUAAAUGGAUCGCUGGAGCUUGCACACUUUGUUAGCACCUUUUGGAUCAACAAAACCUUCUGGUUGCAUCAUAUACAACUCUUCUUUAAGAUAUCCAUUAAGGAAUGCGGUUUUGACAUCCAUUUGCCAAAUUUCAUAAUCAUAAAAUGCGGCAAUUGCUAACAUGAUUCGGAUGGACUUGGGCAUGGCUGCGGGUGAGAAGGUCUCAUCGUAGUAAACUCCUUGAACUUGUCAAAAACCUUUCGCAACGAGUCGAGCUUUGUAGACAGUAACAUUACCAUCAGCGUCAGUCUUCUUCUUGAAGAUCGAUUUAUUCUCUAUGGCUUGACGAUCAUCGGGCAAGUCAACCAAAGUCCAUACUUUGUUCUCAUACAUGGAUCCCAUCUCAGAUUUCAUGUCUUCAAGCCAUUUUGCGGAAUCUGGGCUCAUCAUCGCUUCAUCAUAGUUCGUAGGUUCGUCAUGGUCCAGUAACAUGACUUCCAGAACAGGAUCACCGUACCACUCUGGUGCGGAUCUUACUCUGAUUGACCUAUGAGGUUCGGUAGUAACUUGAUCAGAAGUUUCAUGAUCAUCAUCAUUAGCUUCAUCACUAAUUGGUGUAGGAAUCACUGGAACUGAUUUCUGUGAUGAACUACUUUCCAAUAAGGGAGCAGGUACAAUUACCUCAUCAAGUUCUACUUUCCUCCCACUCACUUCUUUCGAGAGAAACUCCUUCUCUAGAAAGGAUCCAUUCUUAGCAACGAAUAUCUUGCCUUCGGAUCUGUGAUAGAAGGUGUACCCAACAGACUCUUUUGGGUAUCCUAUGAAGACAUAUUUCUCCAAUUUGGGUUCGAGCUUAUCAGGUUGAAGCUUUUUCACAUAAGCAUCGCAGCCCCAAACUUUAGGAAACGACAACUUGGGUUUCUUGCGAAACUACAGUUCGUAAGGUGUCGUCUCAACGGAUUUCGAUGCUGCCAUAUUUAACAUGAAUGCAGCCGUCUCUAAAGCAUAACCCCAAAACGAUAGCGGUAAAUCAGUAAGAGACACCAUAGAUUGCACCAUAUCUAAUAAAGUGCGGUUGCGAUGUUCGGACACACCACUACGCUGUGGUGUUCCAGGUGGGGUGAGUUGCGAAACUAUUCCGCAUUAUUUCAAAUGAAGACCAAACUCGUAACUCAAAUAUUCUCCUCCACAAUCAGAUCGUAGAAACUUUAUUUUCUUGUUACGAUGAUUUUCUACUUCACUAUGAAAUUCUUUGAACUUUUCAAAUGUCUCAGACUUAUGUUUCAUCAAGUAGAUAUACCCAUAUAUGCUCAAAUCAUCUGUGAAGGUCAGAAAAUAACGAUACCUGCCACGAGAAUCAACACUCAUUGGACCGCAUACAUCACUAUGUAUUAUUUCCAAUAAGUCUGUUGCUCGUUCCAUUGUUUCGGGGAAUGGAGUUUUAGUCAUCUUUCCCAUGAGGCAUGGACAAGCAUCAAGUGAUUCCAAAAGUCCAUCAGCAUGGAGUUUCUUCAUGCGCUUUACACCAAUAUGACCCAAACGGCAGUGCCACAAAUAAGUUGCACUAUCAUUAUUAAACUUAUACCUUUUGGCUUCAAUACUAUGAAUAUGUGCAUCACUACUAUCAAGAUUUAGUAAAAAGAGACCACUCAUCAAGGGUGCAUGACCAUAAAAGAUAUUACUAAUAUAAAUAGAACAACCAAUAUUCUCUGAUUUAAAUGAAUAACCGUCUCGCAUCAAACAAGAUCCAGAUAUAAUGUUCAUGCUUAACGUUGUCACCAAAUAACAAUUAUUCAGGUCUGGAACUAAUUCUGAAGGUAGAUGUGGAGGUAGUGUGCCGACGGCGAUCGCAUCGACUUUGGAACCAUUUCCCACGCGCAUCGUCACCUUGUCCUUAGCCAAUUUUCGCUUAAUCUGUAGCCCCUGUUUCGAGUUGCAUAUAUUAGCAACAGAACUAGUAUCAAAUACCCAGGCGCUACUGUGAGCAUUAGUAAGGUACACAUCAAUAACAUGUAUAUCAAAUAUACCUUUCACUUUGCUAUCCUUCUUAUCUGCCAAAUACCUGGGGCAGUUCCGCUUCCAGUGACCAGUCCCUUUGCAGUAGAAGCACUCAGUCUCAGGUUUAGGUCCAGACUUGGGCUUCUUCAUGAUGACCCACAAGUGUAGGGGAUCUAUCGUAGCCUUUUCGGUGAGUAAGAGUGUCGAACCCAACGAGGAGCAGAAGGAAAUGAUAAGCAGUUUUCAGUAAGGUAUUCUCUGCAAGCACUGAAAUUAUCGGUAACAGAUAGUUUUGUGAUAAGGUAAUUUGUAACGAGUAGCAAGCAAUAAAAGUAAAUAGGGUGCAUCAAGAUGGCCCAAUCCUUUUUGUAGCAAAGGACAAGCCUGGAUAAACUCUUAUAUGAAGGAAAGCGCUCCCGAGGACACAUGGGAAUUAUCGUCAAGCUAGUUUUCAUCACGUUCAUAUGAUUCGCGUUCGGUACUUUGAUAAUCAGAUAUGUGGGUGGACCGGUGCUUGGGUACUGUCCUUACUUGGACAAGCAUCCCACUUAUGAUUAACCCCCGUUGCAAGCAUCCGCAACUACAACAGAAGUAUUAAGGUAAACCUAACCAUAACAUGAAACAUAUGGAUCCAAAUCAGCCCCUUACGAAGCAAUGCACAAACUAGGGUUUAAGCUUCUGUUACUCUAGCAACCCAUCAUCUACUUAUUACUUCCCAAUGCCUCCCUCUAGGCCCAAACAAUGGUGAAGUGUCAUGUAGUCGAUGUUCACAUGACACCACUAGAGGGAUGACAACAUACAUCUCAUCAAAAUAUCGAACGAAUACCAAAUUCACAUGACUACUAAUAGCAAGACUUCUCCCAUGUCCUCAGGAACAAACGUAACUACUCGCAAAGCAUAUUCAUGUUCAUAACCAGAGGGGUAUUAAUAUGCAUAUUGGAUCUGAACAUAUAAUCUUCCACCAAGUAAACCAACUAGCAUCAACUACAAGGAGUAAUCAACACUACUAGCAACCCACGGGUACCAAUCUGAGGUUUGGAUACAAGAGAUGAACUAGGGUUUGAGAUGAGAUGGUGCUGGUGAAGAUGUUGAGGGAGAUUCCCAAUGAGAGGAUCGGUGGUGACGAUGAUGGUGAUGAUUUCCCCCUCCCAGAGGGAAGUUUCCCCGGCAGGACAGCUUCGUUGGAGCCCUAGAUUGGUUCCGCCAAGGUUCCGCCUCAUGGCGGUGGAGUUUCGUCCCGUAAGCUUGCUUAUGAUUUUUUCUCGGACGAAAGACCUCAUAUAGCAGAAGAUGGGCAUCGAGGGCCACCAGGGGCCCACGAGGCAGGGGGCGCGCCCAGGGGGUAGGGCGCGCCCCCACCCUCGUGGCUGGUGGGUGCCCCCCUCUGGAACUUCUUGCGCUCAAUAUUUUUUAUAUAUUCUGAAACAUGCUCUCGUGAAGUUUCGGGACUUUUGGAGAUGUGCAGAAUAGGUCUCUAAUAUUUGCUCCUUUUCCAGCCCAGAAUCCCAUCUGCCGGCAUUCUCCCUCUUCAUGUAAACCUUGUAAAAUAAGAGAGAAUAGGUAUAAGUAUUGUGACAUAUGUGUAAUAACAGCCCAUUAUGCAAUAAACAUCGAUAUAAAAUCAUGAUGCAAAAUGGACGUAUCAACUCCCCCAAGCUUAGACCUCGCUUGUCCUCAAGCGAAAGCCGAAAUCGAAAAAUAUGUCCACAUGUUUAGAGAUAGAGGUGUCGAUAAAAUAAAAUACGGACAUGAGGGCAUCAUGAUCAUUCUUAGAACAACAUAUAUAUAUAUAUAUAUAUAUAUAUAUAUAUAUAUACAGCCGUUCUAUUCUAAUAAUGUUAUCAGAAUAGCUAUUCUAAUAACACUUUCGCACUACACGCUCAACGGAAGCGAACUGCAUCUUUUUUAUGUUGCGCACUGCAAUGCUACACGGUAGAACUGCUUCAUUUUCUGGUGGCCCGCCCACGUAUUCUGUGUGGAAUCGGGUGUUGCGGGAUGAUUUGAUUUGUUUAUGUAUGUCAGUUGACCUUUAUUAUUUAUAAUUUACAGGAAAAACGACUAAAAUCUUGGUAAAUCGACGGAUUUGGCGGACGGGCUUUCUCUGUUCGUCCGUGUUUGCUUCAGAUGCGAUUUUUUGUGAUCGCAUGUUGUUUUUUAGUAGGAAUUGUUUUAUUGUGUUCGUUCUAAUCGAUCCAUUUACUCUAUAAUUUGUUAGUUUUUAGGAGUUUGUUUUCAAUUCCUGUUAUUUUGAUUCUGCGUGCGGGAGAGCUUCGUCCGCUCCUCUGUUCUUGACGAUUUAUUGGAUUUUUGCGCGUCCAUGCGUGUUUGAAUAUUGCAAUUAGUGUUGCUAUAGGUUUGAAUUCAUUGUAUUGCAGUUAUAAUUGUAAUUUUGUAAUUGCAAUUUUUAAACGAGAGCUGAUGAUGUUCGUCCAGUUACCGUGUCUUCGAUGUAAUUUUUUGCGGGAGUAUUUUUUCAUUUGUUUAGUGGUUGGACAAUUUCUAGGCAUGCAUACAUUGUUUCUGGAGUAUUUUUCGGUACUCCACCGCAUGUCUACAGUUCUACUAUUUUUAAUUUUAUUUGUUGUAGUUGUGGCAUACGUUGUUGUGCACUGCAUUUUCGUUAGUAGUGUACUUCGUUGUAGCUACUUUACAGUUGUUAUUGCAGUUUAUGAGAUUUCUGUUUUCUUAAACUGAAUUCUGUGUUCUAUAGGACUUCAUAAUAUGCACUUCCGUAGUGCAUUAGCACUGUGGUUAAUGUUUCUACUGUGGUGUUAGAAUGGAUGGUCCAUUUUAUGCUUGUGUUAGCUGAACAAUUAUUAUAAGAAUUAUUUUUGAAGUGCAUACUAUGAGAAUUGUUUUUGAACAUCGUAUGUUAACUGCAAAGUUUCGACCAUUUGCAUUUCCUUGUUUCUGUUUAGAGGACUGCUUUUUUUAUUAUUAGGACCACACUGUGUGCUUGAGAGAACUGCAUUACUGCCAACAACAACUUGUCUAAAAAGGAUGGUAAAAUGAUGCAGUUCAGGUUGCAUACUUUAAAAUAGGCAUCGUUCAAAGUGUCUGAUGGACAUAAUUUUAAAAGCAUACAACAUAAUCAAAGCAUUAGAAAUAUUGUUUGCUUCAUACUAGAUAGCCUAGAGUGCAAAUAUUGUAAACUUGAGGGAGUCUUGUGCUUUGUAGAAAAACACCAUGGCCACUUCUCUGACGUCAAAGCCAUUCUGGGAGACAAAAUCUUUCCAACCAGUAGUUAUGUUGAUGCAGUCUUCAGAGUCGAUGUGGUAGUCAGCUUGCAUGUCUGCAUAUCCAUUCUUGUGUUGUGUCUCCAAAGUAACCUUCCCUGAACUCGAAGCAUGAAAUUUUAUUGUGGAUGGCAGUUUUUGCAUAUUGGAAUGGGUGUUAAAAGAAUUUUAUAAGUAAACAGCGAAUGUUUUCUUUUGUACUUAGGAUGAUGUGUUUAUGUUGACUUAAAUAGUUACACAUAUAUGAGUGCUUUUUUCUAAUGUAGUUGCAAUGUAUGAAGAAACUUAUAUAUGGAAUUGACCUCUAGUUUUACUAGGAUAUAUAUUAUACUACAACAUGCUUGUACUACAAGGUCAAUUACAGUGUACUUCUCCAGCAUGUCAACAGAACUGCAUCGCUGAUCUACUGACCCUUUUUUUGUCGAUACCUGGUGUGGUACUGGAGGAAAAUAGGUGGAAGCAUCUAUUGUUAAUAGCUAACAAAUCUGAACAACAAUACAAAUUAUGUUUUGUAUUUUUGUUGAUACUACUGAACAAAUUGAUUGAACUAUAUAUUCAGAUGUGGAUUUGCAGGCUAGAUUAUGUCCAGAAUUGUGAGGGGAAAAACAUACCCAACUUUCCUGCAGAUCUGCGGUUGUGAGGCGAUGAAGAAAUGGCGGCCGAAACCCCCUAUUGGGUAUCAUCAGGCAUCCGAGCAUGCUGUGCCACUCGGCAUUGGUGAGCUCCAGACCAUUUGCGUACACGCAUGUGUCAGCUAUGGGCGCCAUCCUUGCCAAACACCCGCACUUACAGUCCAUGGCUGGUUCAGUGGAAUUCCAGCGAAGAGCUGGGGAUGGGAUGAACUCUAGAUCUACGAUUUGAAGAAAAAAGAGUAACAGGGGGAGGAGUUUUGUUAGUCUGGAGCACGAAUGGAUACGUUUUUAUGCAACCAAUUGAGCAAUGGAAGUAAUAAAUGUUUGUGGUUGGUGUUAGGUGGUGGAUUGGUUCUGAUUCAGUAUCGUCGAAUGCAUUUGAGUAGCAAAAAGGACUGCUUACGUAAAAAUAGCAAACUGCAUUUGUCAUAUAUCAAGAGAAACUGCGGAACGUUUGGUUGGGCCUGCGUUUUAUGUAUGGUAUGUGGGUUUUUUUAAAACAAAAGCAGUUGCCUUUCUUUUGUGUGUUGGGCCUGUAUUCGCGGAGUGAAGCGCAUUGGGCCCAAGACGGCCUAUGAGCACGACUGGUUUUCGGUGCGCUGUGUGUAGCCUAAUGUUUAGUCCCACCUCGCCCGCGGAAGGCGCGCCCGACCUGUUUAUAAGCGCUGAUGAGGCCACUGUAUCGAACUCCCCUGGUUACUUAUUUGAGCGCUUAUACAUGGCGCUCGCUGCUCUAUGCUCUCUGACCUGUGGGCCCUUGUGCGCCCGGCCCUAUGCAUCGUGGCUCAGCACGACUCGCCUCCCAUUGGCGCAGACCUACUACGAGACUGGCUAGGGCCGGCUGCACCUGGGUGGUCAAUUUUUUUUCUAUUUUGCUUUUUUUUCAAUGUGAGGGCGUGCACUGCUUAUGAAACCGUCCUUGCACUGCAUUGAUCAGUGUUCUGUACUGCAUGUGCAAGCAUUCCUUACUACAUGUACAUUUUCUCAUUUUUUUGUUUUCUUGUUUUUGCUCUUUUGUAAAAAAAUUCCAGUGUAUGGGAGUGCACUGCUUAGUAAACAUAUAUGUACUUCAUUGAUUAUGUUCCUGUAGUGCAUGUUCAUAUUUUUCCGCACCACAUUUUUUCAAAGUAGAGGCGUGCACUGCUUUGUAAACCACGUGUGCACUGCACUGAUCAGCGUUCUGCACUACAUGUGCACGCCUCUACAUUGGAGUGCACUGCAUGUGCAAGCCUCUACAUUGGAGUGCAGUGUGCACGCCUUUACAUGCACAGUUCUCAUUUUUUGUUUUCGUGUUUUUGAUCUUAUGUUAUUUUUUCCCCAAUGUGGAGGAGUGCACUGCUUAGUAAAUCAUUCUUGUACUGCAUAGAUUUCAUUUGUGUGCUGCACGUUCAUAUUUUUUCGGCACUACAUAUGCAGAUUGCAUUUUUCUUUUUGUGUUUUUUCUCUUAUCUAUCUGUUUUUCCAAAUUUAGGGGCGUGCACUGCUUUGUUGUUUAUGUGUAAACUUCAUUUUGACAAAGUCUGUACCGCAUUGGUACACAACUUUCACUGCAUGCAUCCUUUUUUGCACACUGCUCGAAUCUAGUGAUACAUGAGCAAACAACAGAAAACAAAUUGUCACAGGCAUUCUGUAUGAUAAGUUCAUCAUUAGCAAACUAAUUUCAACAGAAAGCAAUCUAACAUAAUCAAAGUUCACAUCAUUACAAGCGAUUCUGCAUGGGAAGUAAACUAAGUUCAACAAAAGAAAAUGAUCACAAGCAAACUAACGAUACAUAAGCAAACAACAUAAAGCAAAUUUGAUGAUAAUUCUAAAACGACGAUGGCCUUGGUGGAUAUUUGGCCGGCACCAUCUUCUUCUUCACCAGUCAGCGCAUGCAGCGUCUCCCCAUCCCCAGCUGGUCUUGGCGCGCUUAUUGGGUGGCUCCUCCUUCUCCAGCUUUGCACAGCGAAGCCCGUCCUGAGUGAGGGUGAUGCGGUUCCAUAUCUCAUAUGCUGCGUAGGCGUCCUUUGCAGCGUACUCGAUGUGCCUCCUGGACAGAGGCAGGGUGGCCCAGCGCUUGUGCUCAUCGUCGGUGAUCUUCUUCUUCAUGUUGUUGUAGUAGUCGUCGAUGAGCAUGCCGGAGACGUCUCCAAGGGAGUCCAACUCCUUGGUUGCCUCGGGCACCCUCUACUCCUUCUGGAUGUCGAUGAAGUUGGCGACCUCCAGAUUGACGUGAUCCAGCCUUUUUUUGUCGCCGUCGAUAGAGAAGCCUGCAAAGGUGUACCUGGGGUCGGCGAGGAAGUUGUCGAAGAUGAUGCACCUUUCAGCGGCGCUCAGUUGGAAGAGCAGCACCUGGUGUUUCUUGCUGAUGGAGAGUUGGCAGAGUGCGGGUUUCUACGUCGCUUCAGGCUCGUUGUUGUACUCGAGAUCAAUGCCGAUGAUCUUGUGGUGCUGGAGGCUAAGGUGGCGCUCGUACUGCGCGAGGGUGAUCACCACCUGCUUCUUGUCGUUGGUGUGGAUGACGUGCAACUUGGUGUUGCCGUGUGCCUCCACGGCCUACACGUCCUUGUACUCGUCGGCGAACGCCAUUGCCGGUAGUGGGGCUUGGUGUUUUUGCAUGGAAAUGGAUGUGACGGAGCGAUUUGGUGGCAGCGUGAUGGGUACUUGUGUUGUUUGUGGAUGAGAUGGCCUAUGGCAGGGGUCUGGAUUUAAGGGGAGGCGUGGUGUGGGAUGGCCGCAGCGGAUGAACUGCACGAUCUCGGCGAUGAUGCAGUUUGUGCAGAUCGUGGGUUGGUGUUGCGUCUGUGAUCGUGGGCUUGUGACGAUGGAACCACUCAGAUUGGGCGGUUGUAUGCGAACGUGGUUUUUUUAUCAGUAGAUUUUUUUAACCACCAUGUUUCUGUUUGAACGGGCUUUCUUGUGACGUUUAUAUGUAUCCUGCGUGACAACGAAACUGCAUUUGUUGUAGUACCGCACUGCAUCAUGUGCAACGGAGAACUGCAUGGUGUUUACAGGUGCGUACUUCACAGUAUUUUUUGCGUGUCCUUGCUGGAGCCCUUGAAUAAAGUAUAAUGUAUUCCGCAUUUUUAUGUGUUUUUCACUGUGUUAUAUACCGUGUUUUCAUUCUUGUAGGUAAUCCGCAACUGGAUUUUCUAAACCGUACUACUUCAUGUACCUAAAAGGUCUGCAUCCUUGUAGUGCUGCGUACUGCAUCAAUUUUUUUGCCUGUACUUACUGCAGUUCCUGUAUGGGAGGGGUAAGGGGGGGUUGCCCCCCCCACAUUUAUUUUUUAAAGUUAUUGUUUUUUCUUAAUGGGCCUUAUUGGGCGGUGUUCGGGAAGUGAAGACGCAUUUGGGCCCAAGUCGGCCUGGUAGCACGAUCGUUUACCUGUGCACUGCGUGCGGCCUAAUGUUUAGUCCCAUGUCACCCGCGGAAGGUGCGCCCGACCUGUUUAUAAGCGCUGACGCGGCAGCUGUAUCGAACUCCUUCGAUUACUUAUUUGAGCACUUAUACACGGCGCUAUAUGCUCUAUGCUCUCUGACCUGUGGGCCCUUGUGCGCCUGGCCCCACGCAACGUGGCUCAGAACGACUCGCCUGCUGUGGGCGCAUACCUACUACGAGACUGGCUGGGGCAGGUUGCACUUGGGUGGUCAAUUUUUUGUAGUAGUACCUCACUGCAUCGUGUGCAACGGAGAACUGCAUUUGUUAUAGUACUGCACUGCAUCGUGUGCAACGGAGAACUGCAUGUUGUCCACAGGUGCGUACUUCAUUAUGUGCAAUAGAGUACAAUGUAUUCCACAAUUUUUACGACUUUUUCGCUGUGUUCUAUACCGUGUAUUUAUUCACAAUGUAGGUAAUCCGGAACUGGAUUGCUAAACCGUACUGCUUCAUGUAACGAAAUGCACUGCACUUUUCUAGUGUUGUGUACUGCAUCUGUUUUUUGCUUGUACUUACUGCAUUCCUUGCUACACGAGGGGUAGGGGGGUGGCCCCCCCAUUUUUUGUGUGGCACUUAUUUGAAUGUAGACUUUUUCUUUUCGAAUGCGUUUUCUUAACAUGUGUGUUGUUUUUUAUUUUAACUUUUUUUGCGAACUGCGUUUAUUUUAUUUUUGUUUUACCGACUAAACUUCAUUGUUCUUUCAUAAAGAACUGCAUCAUGUGCGUUUUGAUGUGGUCUUUCUUGUUUUAGCCGGGCCGUUUUUGGGCCGGCCCGUUUUAUGUUACUUUUUGUCACACGCGGGCCUCCUGCGUGUCCGCUGCAGGUGAUCCCACCUCUGACAAGGAGAGAGACCGAGAACAAUCCCCUCUCCUCUCUUGCAGUUCCUCCUCGAGCAAAACCGCCGUCGCCCGCAGCAACCACCAUCGCCCGAGGAAUCGCCGCCCUCAAGAGGUUCUUAUUGCUACAUUCGGCGUCGUCAUCCGCUUUGCGAGCCCUUGCCGCUGCGCUCCCACAGCCCUUUCGUGCCUGUUUCCGUUGACGCACUCUCCUUCUUCCCCGCCGCCGGCACCGCAGCAUUUUUGUGGUACGUUCCUCUUGUUCCUGGUCUUGAUCAUUCUCUCAUCUUGUGUUUUUGUUAUUCUCGUAGUUGUUGUUGCUAUUUUUUCUUGUGUAAUUUUUCCGUAGGCAGCCGAUUUUAUCUUGAUUUUGUAGUCGAUACUUGUGUGUAGCAAGGUGGAUCUAGGGUUUCUUGAGAUUUUUCGCCGAUUUUGUUGCUUAUAUCUGUCGCUUCAUCGUUGUGCUGUAGGCAAACGCCAUGUCUUCGCCGAGCAGAGUGGGAGGAGGAGUUCAGGGUAUGUGGAGUGCUUAUUUUAGGCUUUUGUUUAUUUUUGUUUGAUGUAUAUCUAGUUUCUUAAAUCAUCCUACAUAUUUGGUUUAUGCUCUGUUAGUUGUCAGUGUUCGUUUGCAUUAUUUUUGUCAUGUGAUGUUUUGUAAUUUCUGUUUCUGGUUCUUUUUGUAUGAAGUAGGUGAUUGUGGUUCUCAUAAUGAUACACCAAUUCGCUCUCGUUGUCCUAGUGGUAAGGAUCAUGGUGUUGAGGGAGGACAUCAAUUGAAUUCGCCGAUUGAAACUUCUCCCAUAAGUGUGGCGCCUCCUUCUGGUAUGUGAUUGAUUUGUUUAUUUUUGUGUAUGCUGGUUAAUUCGAUGUUGUACAAAUUGGUGUUGCCUUGCUGUAUAUAGUGCGGCAUUCUUGUUUGGGAAGAAACAUGAAGUUAAUGCAUGCAGCAAUGUAUUUAUUUUGUAUAUGUGAACUCCACUAUAUUUUUGUGUGAACUGCAUUGUUGUUUUAUUCAAGUUUUUUGUGCAAUGCAUUAAUUUUUAUUUUUAGCUUAUGGUUGGAGCACUGCAUUUUAUAUGUCUAAGUGUACUGCAUUUGUUCUUUUUGUGCACUUUUUAACGACCAUAGUCAAACUUCAUUUUUGACACAGUGUCUGUUUUCCAUGCUGGGGCGCCUGGGUUUGAGGAGGUUACUCAAUUGAUUGACCAUUAUUUUGCAGAGGGUAAUGUUGGUGUGAGAUUUGACCAGAGGCGACACGUUUUGUCUGAGACACAGUUGCAGUUUGUUGAUGGUACAGAAGAAGUUACACAGGAUUGGAUGGUCUCGGAACAGCUUCAUCAAUAUGAGUUGAAGCAAAGCAAGAAGAAGUUGAGGUUUGAAAGUGACUCAAAAGAGUUUGCGGAUAAAGAGAAGCAGAGGAGAGCUGCAGAUGGUGCCAAGGGUGCCAAAUUUGCCAAGGUGAGGAAGCCUUCUUUGUAGAAGAAGAGGCUGAGUACUGUUGCUGAGGAAGGUGGUACACCUCGUCGGAGUCCACGUGUUGCUGGCAUGAACAAGAGAACUGCUGAAGCUGGUGGAAAGGAUGAUCCUUAGUGCAAGCGACUACAUGUCACUGGAGGUCCCAAUUCUGAUGAUGAUGACUUUGUGCUUGCUGAUUUUGUGAGGGAUGUUCAUAGUGGUAGAUGCAAAGACUGUGGUUCAUCUAAGAGUCUACCCAAGCGUGCCCGUGACGAUGUCGAUGAAGAUGUUUGUGGUGACUCUGGCGAGGAGGUGGAUUUUGUUCCAAAGGUUUGUUGAAGUGGACUGCAUUUGUUUUCUUCAUUGUUAUUCUAUCUGUGUUUUCUCUAUCUCUUUUUUUAUGGCUAGUCUUCUAAUGUGGAUUGCAUUUCCGUUUACACAGAGGAAGAAGUCUAGUAAGAGCAAUGCAGCUGAAGAUGAUGCUGAGGUAGAUGAUUCUCGAUUUAACAAGACCGUACGUUUGUCGCUUCCCACUGUUUGCAAGGCUGCUGCCUUGUUGAAAGAGGCACACUGUAGUCGUGUUCGGGAUGCUGGAUUUGGUGUUGUCUUUGAACUGACAGUAAAGAAAAAUGUGUCGCGCAUUCUUAUGCGCUAUCUGAUGGGAGUGAUUGACCCUGCCACCAUGAUAAUGGACUUUGGGAAUGGCAGGGUUCUUCGAAUCAAUCGUGAUGCAGUUCAUCACAUUUUUGAUUUACCCAUGGGACGUCACACUGCACCCAUGCCUGCUGCCAGUGGCCAUGAUGACUCGUUGAGUGCCCUCAAGGAUGAGCUUGGCUUUGACCGUUCAAAAAGUAUAGGUGUCAAGGACUUGCUUGAGAAGCUGAAGGUGUUGGUGGAGGAAGAUGAUCAUGUGACUGUUGACCUUGCUGUGAAGGUGUUCUUCCUGAUACUCUACCAGAAUUUGAUGUGCCCCGGGCCUGCAGUUCGUUUGGGUAGAGUUGCUGCAAUGGUAGAGAACAUGGAUUAUGCGGCUAUGGCUCAGAUGGACUUUUGCCAGCUUGUUGCUGAUGAGUUGCAGGCAGCUGUGGUAAGGUGGCAAACAGAAGGCAGCAAGCAGAAUUGUGCAGAGGGUGGUGUCAUUGUCCCCCUGAUUAUGCAUCUUGAAUGCUUGAAGCUUCGCAAAUUUUCAGUCAUGCACACGUUGACGCCACGUGCGUCAUACCUGACGACCAAGGACCUGAUGAAGUUAUACAAUGAGGAUGUGCUUGUGAAGGGAAAGAUUUAUUUGGAAACUUACAAAUUUGGGAAGCUGCCGGUUAGUGCGUCUGAGUUUUGAAUAUCAGUUUUUUUAAAGGUGCAUCCAUUAUAAAUAAGAACUUCUAUAGUACUCACAUGCGUACUUCCGUUUGCCUCUUUUUCUUUUUUUAGUGGAAGGCGUCAGGUGAUAUUGUGUACAACCAUCCUGUUGCAGUUGAACGCGUCAGCUCUGAUGCGGGACCUAGCACUCAUGCUAGGUUUUAUGAGCCCAUAUGUAUCCAGCUUCCUGACCGUGAUGAUGAUGUGCAGCAUACUUGUGGUUUCAUGGCUGAACAGAUGUUUGAUAAUAGAAGCUCUUCUAAAUAGACAUUUGUUGGCGGCAAAAAACACGAGGAGAUCGAUGAGCUUCUUCUGAAGGUUUUGAAGUUGACUGAAGAUUUGCCAACCUCCGAUGACAGGUUGAGGACAGUUGCUGGUUUUUUCCCUGUUGGCCACGGCCCACGAGAUGAAGAUAUUGUUGCUGCUCACAAUUUUAAUUGUGGCGUGAUUGAAAGCCUGAAGAUUGCAGUGACGAAUGUUCGGUCUUCGUAUGCUCAAUUGAGACAUUCACAAGAGGAAAAAUGCGGCCGGUAUGAGAAGGAUGCUAGGCAUAUUUUGGAUGAAAUGAACCGUCAGGACGCUAGUGUUGGCGCUGAUAAUGUAUGUUCUAGGUUUUUUGUGGUUUUGAACCUCUUUUGUGUACUAUGUGGACUGCUCCUCAUUUUUCAUGUUUUUUGUGAUAGGCUGGAGUGGAAUCUUCUGGUGUCCAUGGAACUAGGGACGAUGGAAUUGGUUAGGUCAAGUACUUCUGCUAUGUACUUGUUGCUUUCCAUUUUUAUUGUAUUUUUUUGUGUACUUCGCGGUUGUGAAGUGUGUAUUGCUUGUGCAUAUUUGAGGUUUUUUCUUUUUUGGUCGUUACCAACUUAUAUUUCGUUUUUGGUUUGUUCUAUGCCUGUAGACUGGUGAUGCUGCUUGUGAUGUGGACAAAGAGACCUAUGAUGGCUCUGGGAAGGAUGAGGUAUUAGCUGAUGCAUCGUCCUCUCCGGUUGGUGUAGCUGAUAAGGUAUAGUUGUUUUACUUGUUCUAUUAGUGUGUUGUAAUCUAAUUUUUUUGUUUGUUGUUGUUGUAAACUUUAUGUAUGCUGUUAUGUUCACUCGUAUGCAUUUUCAUUUAUAUAUUUUUGGCUGCAAUAAUUUUACAUGUGUGAGCUUCAGUGUUUGACUGAAGUGAACUGCAUUCCUUUUUUUUGCAUGCGUGUCCAUAAUGUUUUACACAAGUGAGCUUCAGUAUUUCACAUAACUGAACUGCGUCGUUUGACAAAGUGAACUGCAGUUAUUUUUUAUGUUUAUGUGGGUUGAAGUUGUAGUUGUUUUGAUACACGUGGUUUGCAGUUGUUGUUGUGUUAAUUAUCCCCGCGCUCAUUUUUGUGUUAUUGUGUGUUUUUAAUCUUUCCACGGCGUGGAGAAGAAAACGUGGAAGUUCACGUUGAUCUGAAUCAGGGCGCUUGUGCUGUUGAUGGUGGUGGCAGUGUUGGUGCUUCUGCAUCGGUAGCUGUCGACUGUGCAGACGCUUCUGUAGCUCAAGAAUACCAUGAUGCUCUUUCCCCCAGUCGGCAUGAAGACUCUGAUUUUGUCAUUGAAAAGCCGUUGGAGAAUGUCGUCCCUGCUGUUAGUGUUGUUGCUUCCCCUAUUUGUCUGGCGGCCAACGAUGUUCCUGAAGUAUCGAUAAUUGAGCCUCAUGUAGCUGAAGUAUCUAAGGACAUUGUGGUUGACCAGACUGUUGUAAAUCCAGAGAAUGCUGAUGUUGCUGCAGAAGGGAAGUCCAGUGAGGUUGUGGUGGAUUCAUCGCAAUCUGUCAAAGAAAAUCUUUUGGUGAGCUCUGAAGAACAACAACAUGAAGACUCUGACACUAAAGGCAAGAGUUUUGUUUUCCAACAGUGCAGUUGAAGUUUUUCUCAUUUCAUUUUUUGUUUAAUUACUAUGGUAUCUGUAUUAGAUGUUUAAUGAUAAGUGAAACUUGAUCUUUUUGUUUAUAAUUUUCAAAAUAGCUAGUAGAAUUUCCUUAUGUUAAUAUUUGAACUUCAUUAUGUUGGAUAAGUGAACUUCAUCUUUUUUAUUAUAGAAGACGAACUUCCUGUUGUGACACCGUCGAGCAUUGAUCCAGCUCUUCUGAAAAGAUACAAUGAGUUGUACGCUGCUGUUAUGAGGAUUCGGAAGGACAAGAAGAAGAAGUAUGGUUUUUUAGAAAUUGUUUUAUUCAUAUGUAUUUUCUAAAUUUGGUUUUUAGCCCUUUUUCUUUGUUGUUAUUUUUUUAGUAUCUUAUGUUUUCAGUUUUUCAUGAAAAAUUCAGGGACAUGAUUGCUUUUAAAACUGAGUUGGGUGAUAUUACCAUUGGCGAAGUUGGUCAAUCCUUUUGGGAUAAAGGGAUGCUCACUACAAGACUUGUAGAUCUUGGGGUUUCUUUGCUGGUAGAUAAGUUUAAGGGAUCUCCGACAAUGGUUGUCCCGUACCAUAUUUGUGUAAGAAUCAAGAAUUUUUUUUGAUUUUGUUUUCUGAUUUCGUGCGAUGGACAUUUUUCCUUGAGCACUAUUUGAUUUUGGGUUUUUAUUGGCAGGCAAAUAUUUGGAAUGGUGGUACUGUAGGCAGAAGUGUUAAAAUGGUGUUCGCUUCAAAAGCCGAGGAGCGUGUUGAUAAAAAGGAUAUGGUGAGUAACGUUUUUAUGUGUCGAAGACUAUAUUUUUUGCGUGUUUGUUAUUACAGUCUUUUGUUUCUUCUUCUUAUUAUAAUUUUAUUUAUUUAUUUGUGCUUCGAACAGGUCCUUUUUGCAACUUUUGAUCCACCAGACACAAGGGAUGGUGUUGGUCAUUAUUGUGUAGUUGCGUUAAAUGUGAAAGAAAGGCGGUUUGAAUUUCUUGACUCGCUCAAUAAAUCUGGCAGCCCUGGUGCGAUCAGGAUUUUUAGGAGGACGGUUAAAAAUAUCAAGCGUGCAUGGAAAGAAGGAAGCUCAAGUUCUGAUGAGCCGCUAAAUCCUCCUACACUUGAUGGAUUUGUGUUGAAACAUGUCAUUGUCCCAACGCAACCUAAUGGGUGUGUUCCGUACAACCCGUCUUCACCAUACUGCUCAAGUUUUUUUAUUUUUUAUUUUUUGUGAAACUAAUGUUUUUUAUUCUUUUUAUUGCAAGCAUGAUUGUGAAUUAUAUAUGUUUCAAUUCCUGCAGACUUGGGAUGGUGUUCGAGUUGUUCAGUUUGGGGUGGAGCACAUUGGCUACAUCAGAAAGGCCAUGCUCUGUAGUUGCCUCACAUCGAGAAAGUGUUCCCUUGAUUUAACAUCACUUUUAAUUUUUGCAGAUAAAGGUUGUUUUAGUGAACUUCUUUAUCCUUCGUUUAUUUAUUUUUUGCCUACUGCUUGCUUCCGGUUCUUACGGGCUUUUCUUUAAUAGUUUGUUUAGUUAUGUUCGUGAUUUAGAUUGUAUGUGUAUUUUUAUUUUUUGUGUUAGUGAGUUGCAUUUUUUAUUUUUUGGGCAAGUGAGCUGCAUUGUUCUUUACAAGUAGGCUGCAUUGUUGUAUACAUUUUUAGUUCUGCAUUACUGCUGACAAGUGGACUGCAUUGCUGUAGACAAUUGUGCUGCAUUCUAUUCUUUAGUGAACUGCAUUAUUUUAUUUUAUUGAGUUUUUUUGUAUUUUUUAUGCUGAGUGUUUCCAUGUUUUUUCUUUCACGGUUUUAGGUUUUGAUGGGGGGCUUCAUGAAGGUUGUACGUCACUGUUUGAAUCCAACGGUUCUGAAUUGGUUAUGGAGGAUUGCGCCAUUGAAAUCUCUCCAGAUAAUUCUGGUUCUUUGGCUGGAGAUGGUUUGAACACAGCUGUGGCGUCUGGACCUGAUGGUGGAAGUGUUUCGCGCCCUAGCUCCCCACAUGAUGUGUUUGAUGUUGAUGAUGAUGAUUUUGUUACGCCGUGUCCUCGCGCCACGAGGAGUCGGACUGCAGCAAUUAAUCGUCCUCCUGUGGAUGAUGUUGAAGUUUUUUCGAACAACAGGGCAGGUGAGAGGGCUUUUAAGUUGAGAUGCUCUAUAGAUAAAUUGAAGCCUCCGAGGUUCAAAUAUAUUGAUGAGGCGAGGAAAAUAAAGGAUCUUGUUCUCAGCAAAGAAUUUGCAACCAAAUACCACGAGUGAGUUUUUAUGUGUGUGCCCUUGAUUCUUUUUGUGCGUUUUGUUUUUAAUUUUAAUUUCAUUGAUCCCAUUUUCUGUAUGUUUACUGCAGGAAUGCGUUCUUUAUGGUGAAUAGUCCUUUUGGUGAUCUUGUACUUACAAUGUUGACUAUAUCUAUAAUACAUUUGGCAAAGGAGCUUUAAUGGAUUCGUAUCUCAUGGAUUUUGUCAUCAAGUACUAGAAGUAAGACGCUGAAAUGGGUUUAGUUUAUCAUUCUGGUGAACGUGUGCUACUUUCACCCUUAUUUAUCACGGUAAACGUGUGCUGUCAUUUUUUUCUAUUUGUACUGGUUUUUUGUUUUUAUGUCCAUGCCUGCAUGCACUGUUUAUUCUUUUUUUCACGUCCUUUCUUUGUUCUUUUUUCUUUGCAGUAUGUUCUUCAGAUGGAAAAAUUUGUGAAGAGAGAUGAGGAAGGAAACCCUGUGUUGCCAGUUUCGCAUAGCACGUUUGUUUUUAGAAGAUGCUGUUAACCAGUUCAAGGUUUUUGUGAGUGACGAUGUAAACCUGUUGGAUGCAAAACUGGUAAGUUCGUUGUUUCCCGUCGUUUAUUUUUCUGGUUUGCUGUAUUUCUUUUUAUAGUUAAUUUUUUGGAGCAGUGGUUCUAGUGCUACGUGUCGAAAUAAGUUUUCAUUUUUUGUUUUUGAUGUGAACACAUUAUGAUGCCGCGCUCCAAGGAUGGCCAUUAUUCCGUAUACACGAUGAACCAGCAUCGCCAGACGUUUGAUAUCCAUGACACUAGGAAGUACACUGGCCAUCCUGAUGUCACGACAAAGUGGAGCAGGAGCCAUUACCAUUCAGAUUGCACUGAAGUGGUAUGUCAUUUUUUCUUGCCAAGUGCAAAGCUUUUUUGUGUUUCUCCUUCUGCAUUUUUUUGGAUAAACUGCACAUGUAAUGUUAGCGCACAUAGUACCACACUUUUUAUGUAGUGCACUGCAACAAACGCGUGAUAGAACUGCAUUUUUCUCAGACCCCCCGUAAUCCAUGUAAAAAAGGAGAUAAAAGGAAAUGACCUCAUGUGCAUUUAAAAGAGAGACUGUCUAGACGUCGAAAACAACUUCCGUAUCUGAAUCGUAAUUUGAUCUGUGGUGUGUGUUAUUUUUACAUUGUGCUUCGUUUUUUUUUGCCAGAUGAGGAGGAUGACUCAGUUGCUGAAGGCGAUUUAUGGUGAAAAAAUGUGUAAAUCUAAGAACCACCCUGACUGGGUUAAAUUGGCAGAGAAGCCCUCUUACCCGGUCGUGCCAACGCAUGGAGAAAAUGAGUGCGGAAUCUAUGUUCUGAGGAUGACGCAGUUGUAUGACGGCCAACAUUUAGUUGAGAAAAUUAUCAAAACCGACGUAAAACCUUCUCUAUUUUUCUUCUUUUUCUUGUUACUUUUUUUUUAUUACUUUUACCUUUUCACUUUUUGUUCUUUAUGACAAUCUUUUUAGUUAAUCACUAUCUGCAUUUUUUUAAUUUUCUUUUUCAGCCUGCUGUUGAAGAUUGGAAGGCGGAGUACAUGUUCCAGCUGUUGUUCAAUCCCUCGAACAUGUUGUGUUAUGAAGGCAUGCCGCUUGAGCUACGAGAACUAAUUUCGGACCUCGGGCUUACUUCCCUGUCGCAAUCGCAGACGCAGUCGCAGACGCUGUAAUAAUCUACAUUUGUAUAAACCCUGUGUAUGGACAAGAACUAGGGGUUCAUGUUGUGUGUUGUGUGGUGUCUAAGGUAUAUAAUGUAUGAAAAGACAUUUGUUUUUACUGUUUGUUGUGAUUCUUGUCUGCUCUUUUUGCAGCAGUGUUUUAUGGACGAAUUUGUAUCUGUAUGUGUAUUUUAUAUAAAUAAUUCAUAAAGUAUAUAUAUGUGUAUAUUUUUAUUUUUUUGUUUGACUUACACGUUCUGUGUGAAUUUGGCAUUUUGACACACUUAUAAGUAUCUUAUGUGUCCCAUUUUUCAACCGCAUUGCAUGUGAUACCGAACUUAUUCGUCCAAGAGAAAGCACUGCAUGUUUGUCUACAAGUUUGUGUUGCAAUCUAUUUUUCCCUGCACUUUCUUACCGCAGACCCUGCAUUCAUGUGUGUAUCCUGGAAUUUCGUUGCUUUAUGAUACUGCACUGCUUUGCCUAGCUAGGUGAAGUGCAUUGCUUUAUGAUACUGCACUGCUUUUUUUACUGCCUAAACUAAGUGCACUACUUUUUUUUGCAUAUCCAAGUGCACUGCUUUUUUUCGCCCAACCUUCAGUUGGUUAUUUUUUAUUGUUUAUUGUAUUUGUAAGGUAUGAGGGGGGAGGGGGGUUGGCCACCCCCCCCCCCAAUUUUUUUGGUUGACUAUAUAUUUUUGUAUUUUGCUAUUUGUAUUCCCUGUACUUAACGUACUGCGUGCGUUAGCGCAAGGCCAAGCAGGGGGUGGGGAGGGGGGGUCGUGACUGAUGGGGUUAUGUACCUAGGGUAGGGUCACGGACCUGUCCCAAGUAACUUACCCUAGGACAUCCCUAGAAGAGGUCGCCUUCCAGUCGACCAACGAGGACUCACUCGACCAACGAGGACACACUCGACUGGCCUGAAGGACUCGACCACGAAGACGCACUCGACCACCAGGAGGUCAAGAGGCACUCUGCACCGCAACGGUCUGUAAUUAAGUAGACUUUAUGAUAGUAAAGGCACUUUAUGUGGGGCGUUACCAGUAACGCCCCAGACUUAACUCACCUUAAACCUUCUCCUACGUGGGCUGGCUGGGGUCCUGGCGCACUCUAUAUAAGCCACCCCCCUCCACAGGCAGAAGGGUUCGGCACCUUGUAAUCCAUACAUUCAUAAUCCACUCGACCGCCUCUGGGCCCCGAGACGUAGGGCUGUUACUUCCUCCGAGAAGGGCCUGAACUCGUACAUCCUUUGUGCUUACAACCUCUCCAUAGUUAGGACCUUGCCUCUCCAUACCUACCCCCCACUCUACUGUCAGGCUUAGAACCACGACAGUUGGCGCCCACCGUGGGGCAGGUGUUUUAGCGAUUUUGUGGAGAAGUUGCGAUUCUUCCGAGUAUUUUCAUCAUGGUGUCUGCUGGAGUUUUGAUCGAGGGUCAAGAGAUCCGUCUCGGCACUCUCACCUUCAUCGCCGACGACUCCGCAUGGCUCCAAGAGGCUCCACUCGACGUAGAUGCGCUCCCCGUCCGCGGUGCGACGCAUUUUCGCGCAUGUGUCCGCGGCGUUCUGCUGCGGCAACCAUCGACCCAGUAUCGGUCAGUUCCUCCGUCUUCCACCCUCCCGGUCUCCCGCCAGCGCAAGCGCUCAGGCCGGUCGAGGCUUCAGCGAUGGGUGAGUCACGCGGUGGCUCGCCAGUCGGCCACUACACAAGUUGCGGCAAUCGAGCCCAACGAAUCUCUCUACGGCUUGUUCGAUCAGUCGACUGGCUCCGGAGAGACUGCAUCCGAGUGCGGAAGCAGUGAUCCAGCGGCGGAAAUCUUGAUGGUCGACGGGCCUCAUAGCCCACCCGGCUUCGCCCGCGGUGGUGGAGCAGGUGACGGCGGCGACCCUGCCCGAGGGUACGAAGAGUACCAGCCCGAGCCACUCGACUCUCUGCAAAGAGAAGAGCUUCGCCGCAGGAACGAGGAUCCCCUGCGUAUUCCCAUCGCAGGAGAAACCCCCGAGGCUCGUGCCUUGGAGGAGGCGCGUCUGGCCAAUUUGGCCGAGCGCACUCGACUGGAGAACCUUCAGCGAGCACUCGACGAGCGCGCGCGGCAAUGAGUUCCCGACACCAGUCGACGUCAACUCUUCCCGCCGACUCAGGUAUAUCGAACCCCAAUUCAGAAUUUAGCAGCUGCUACCCGUAUAGCAGAGUCCAUUCAGCCUUCGCAGUCAGAAGCUGGCAGAGGUUUGCUGCAGAUCAGGGAUCUACUCCGGGCAGCAGGAGAUCAGAAUUCAGCCGUGUCUCAGUCGCGCAACAGAAUUCACAGUCGAUCUGUCACUGUGAAUACGGUACAGUCGGCUCACAGCCCCAGAUCGCCUCCGCGGCACGAAGGGCGUGAGUAUCGGCGAGAUCAAUAUGGCGACAGGCUCGACCGAGAUGAUAGGCGUCGAGUGCCCUAUUCCCCUCCGAGGGGUGGGUCUUACGCUCCUCGGCAGCCAGAUGAUAGGCGUCAGUACAGUACAGGGCGUAGAGUUCCAGUUGACCCCAGGGAGCCAGGCUUCGAUGCGCGAUCCAUUAUCGUGCAAGGGUUGGUCGACCGGAACAGAGCCCAUCGUGGUGCACUCGACAGAGAAGUGCCCACGAGCAGUCGAGUACAUGUUUCUGGUCCUGAAUGUUUCAGCAGAGCUAUCAGAGCCGCUGUUAUUCCCCCCAAUUUCAGGUUGGCAACAGGAGUCAGCAAGUUCACUGGUGAGUCUAAGCCUGAAACUUGGCUUGAAGACUACCGAGUGGCAGUUCAGAUCGGUGGUGGGAACGACGAGGUGGCCAUGAAGCAUUUGCCCCUCAUGUUGGAAGGUUCUGCCAGGGCAUGGUUGACCCAAUUACCUCCUAGCAGCAUUUACACUUGGGAAGAUCUGUCCCGAGUGUUCGUCAGAACGUUCGAAGGGACUUGCAAGCGACCAGCAGGAUUGACAGAGUUGCAAGUCUGCGUGCAGAAAACCAAUGAGACUCUUAGAGAGUAUAUUCAGAGGUGGAUCACUUUGCACCACACUGUGGAAAAUGUCUCUGACCAUCAGGCAGUAUGCGCCUUCAAAGAUGGCGUCAAGAACAGAGAACUAAGCUUGAAAUUUGGUCGAACCGGUGACAUGACCUUGAGUCGGAUGAUGGAGAUUGCUACCAAGUACGCCAACGGCGAAGAAGAAGACCGACUCCGAAGCGGCAAGCAUAAGCCGAGUCAGUCGGAAAAAGGAAAUUCCAGUCGUAAACAGAAGCGGAAGGCUGAACCGGCAGCUCCUGGAGAGGCUCUGGCCGUGACUCAAGGAAAGUCUAAGGGGAAACCAAAAGGAUCCUGGAACCCCAAGAAGGUGAAGGAUAAAGAAGGGAACGACGUGAUGGAUAUGCCGUGUCAUAUUCACACGAAGAAAGAUGAAGAGGGGAAUAUCAUUUACCCAAAGCACACCACUCGCCAAUGUCGACUCCUGAUCCAGCAGUUUCAGGGAAAACAGUCUAAGGACAAGGAGAAGGAGUCGGACAAAGCCGAAGACAAAGAGGACAGUGAGGGAGGAUACCCGCAUAUCAACUCCACUCUGAUGAUCUUCGCAGAUGUGGAAAGCAGAAGUCGACUGAAAGUAAUUAACCGAGAGGUUAACAUGGUUGCCCCAGCGAAGGCAAAUUAUCUGAAGUGGUCUCAAACACCCAUCACAUUCGACCAAUCUGAUCACCCAACUCAUAUUGCCACCCCUGGGAGGCAAGCUUUGGUGGUCGAUCCAGUUGUCGAAGGCACUCGACUGACGAAGGUGCUGAUGGACGGUGGAAGUGGGCUGAAUCUGUUAUAUGCAGACACGCUGAAAGGUAUGGGCAUUCCGAUGUCCCGAUUAAGCACGAGUAACAUGAGCUUCCAUGGAGUUAUACCAGGGAAGAAGGCUGAGUCUCUCGGCCAGAUAGCUUUGGACGUAGUAUUUGGCGAUUCAAAGCAUUUCCGCAAAGAAAAGUUGACAUUUGAGGUCGUGGAUUUUCAAAGUGCAUAUCAUGCCAUUUUGGGGAGGCCAGCCUAUGCACGGUUCAUGGCUCGACCAUGUUACGUGUACCUCAAAUUGAAGAUGCCCGGCCCCAAAGGUGUGAUCACUGUCACCGGAGAUAGGAAAAAGGCAGAGGAGUGCUUUCAGAAGGGCUCCAAAAUUGCCGAGUCCCAAGUGACAGCGGUCGAGUUCGAAGAAUACAAGCAAAACGCAGAUCCGAGUGACUUGCUGCGAUCCAAGAAGCCCGCCACAGAAUCUGCAUUCCAGUCGUCCGGUGAGACGAAGCCUGUUCACAUUCACCCGACCGACCCCGAAGCAGCUCCGACCCGCAUCUCCACAACACUCGACCCAAAAUAGGAAGAAGCGCUCAUCCAGUUCCUCCGUGAGAACUGGGACAUUUUUGCAUGGAAGCCCGCUGACAUGCCAGGUGUUCCCAGGGGACUGGCUGAGCAUCGCCUAAGAGUCGACAAGUCUGCAAAGCCAGUCAAAGAACAUCUUCGGCGGUCCGCCGUCCAGAAGAGAAAGGCCAUCGGUGAAGAAGUGGCUCGACUGUUGGCGGCAGGAUUUAUCCGAGAGAUAUUCCACUCCGAGUGGCUCGCUAAUGUCGUCAUGGUUCCUAAGAAGGACAAGUCGCUCCGAAUGUGCAUUGAUUUCAAGCACAUAAACCGGGCCUGCCCGAAAGAUCACUUUCCUCUCCCUCGCAUAGAUCAAAUUGUUGACUCGACCGCGGGAUGCGAGAGGUUGUCUUUUUUAGAUGCUUACUCCGGGUACCACCAGAUCCGUCUGUAUGGACCCGAUGAAGUAAAAACAGCUUUCAUCACUCCAUUCGGGUGCUUCUGCUAUAUCACCAUGCCAUUCGGCCUCAAGAAUGCCGGAGCCACGUUUAUGCGAAUGAUUCAGAAGUGUCUACUCACUCAAAUCAGUCGGAAUGUGGAAGCUUAUAUGGAUGAUAUUGUUGUCAAGUCACGAAAAGGUUCCGACCUGCUCGCUGACCUCGCCGAAACAUUUGCCAACCUCAGAAGGUAUGAUAUCAAGCUCAAUCCAUCAAAGUGCACAUUUGGAGUUCCUGGUGGCAAGUUACUCGGUUUCCUCGUUUCCGAAUGGGGAAUCGACGCCAACCCAGAAAAGAUUGGCACUAUUCUCCGAAUGAAACGCCCUGUGCGAGUGCACGAUGUCCAGAAGCUUACUGGAUGCUUGGCCGCAUUAAGUCGAUUCAUCUCAUGACUCGGUGAAAAGGCAUUGCCUCUUUACCGACUGAUGAAGAAGGCUGACAAGUUCGAGUGGACUCCAGAAGCUGAUGCAGCGUUUGCCGAGCUAAAAGCUCUGCUCUCCACCCAGCCGGUGCUUGCUGCUCCAAUCAGCAAAGAGCCUCUGUUGCUCUACAUCGCAGCCACAGGACAAGUCGUCAGUACUGUGCUAACGGUCGAGCGGGAAGAAGAAGGAAAAGCUCUCAAAGUUCAGCGCCCAGUGUAUUAUUUGUCUGAAGUCUUGACUCCAUCCAAGCAGAGAUAUCCUCAUUAUCAGAAGCUUGUAUAUGGAAUAUACAUGACCACAAAGAAGGUUGCUCAUUAUUUCUCUGACCAUUCAAUCACAGUCGUCAGCGACGCUCCACUAUCAGAGAUUUUGCACAACAGAGAUGCAACUGGUCGAGUGGCCAAAUGGGCGAUUGAACUUCUUCCCCUUGAUAUCAAGUUUGAGGCAAAGAAAGCCAUUAAGUCCCAGGCAAUAGCAGAUUUCCUAGCCGAGUGGAUCGAACAGCAGCAGCCGACUGAAGUUCACUCGGAGCAUUGGACCAUGUUUUUCGAUGGUUCUAAGAUGUUGAAUGGUUCCGGUGCUGGGGUUGUCCUGGUUUCCCCCAGAGGAGAUAAGCUCAGAUAUGUGCUCCAGAUUCACUUUGACUCCUCCAACAAUGAGGCAGAAUACGAGGCCCUCCUGUAUGGGUUGCGCAUGGCCAUUUCACUCGGCGUCCGUCGCCUAAUGGUCUAUGGUGACUCGGAUUUAGUGGUCAAUCAGGUGAUGAAAGAGUGGGACGUGAGAAGCCCAGCCAUGACUGGAUACUGCAGUGCAGUGAGGAAGCUGGAGAAGAAGUUCGAGGGGUUGGAGCUCCACCAUAUACCCCGACUGAAAAAUCAAGCAGCUGAUGAUCUAGCAAAGAUAGGUUCCAAGAGAGAAGCCAUUCCGAGUGGUGUGUUCUUGGAGCAUAUACAUACUCCAUCAGUCAAAGAAGAUCCUUUCACCGAAGAAACUCCGCAGCCCAAGAGUGCCACAGAUCCGACUGAAGUUGAAGUCCCAGCGGUGGUCGACUUGAUCAUGGAGGUUUUGGUAGUCAUUCCCGACUGGACGAUUCCGUAUGUCGCAUAUAUCUUGAGGAAAGAACUUCCGGAGGAUGAGGAAGAGGCUCGACAGAUCGUCCGUCGAUCUAAGGCCUUUACCGUCAUCAAAGGACAAUUAUACAGAGAGAGCACGACUGGAGUCGGACAGAAGUGCAUUACACCAGAAGAAGGUCGACUCAUCCUCAAUGAUAUUCACUCGGGGACCUGUGGUCAUCAUGCGUCCUCUCGGACCAUCGUGGCCAAAGCAUACCGAGCCGGAUUUUACUGGCCCAAGGCGAAUGAGAUGGCAAAGGAGAUAGUAGAUAAGUGCGAAGGAUGUCAGUUCUACUCGAAUAUGUCGCACAAGCCUGCGUCAGCUUUGAAGAGCAUCCCACUCGUCUGGCCUUUUGCAGUUUGGGGGCUGGACAUGAUCGGUCCUUUGAGAACAGGACGAAGUGGCUUCACGCAUGUACUGGUGGCAGUCGACAAGUUCACCAAGUGGAUCGAAGCUAAACCAAUCAAGAGCCUCGACACCGGUACUGCUGUUAGCUUCAUCAGGGAACUAGUAUACAGAUAUGGAGUCCCGCACAGCAUCAUCACGGAUAAUGGGUCGAACUUUGACUCAGAGGAAUUCAGAACCUUCUGCAACUCCCAGGGCACACGGGUCGACUACGCAUCAGUCGCCCAUCCGCAGUCGAAUGGACAAGCAGAGCGAGCUAAUGGACUGAUUCUCAAGGGACUGAAGCCACGACUGAUGCGUGAUCUCAAACACGCGGCUGGAGCUUGGGUCGACGAACUUCCAUCUGUGCUCUGGGGACUGCGGACCACGCCCAAUCGGUCGACCGGAAGAACUCCAUUCUUUUUGGUCUAUGGAGCUGAAGCAGUCUUGCCGAGUGAUCUUCUCCACAAUGCUCCUCGUGUUGAAAUCUACAACGAAGCAGAAGCUGAACAAGCGCGGCAAGACGCAGUCGACCUUUUAGAGGAAGAAAGGGAGAUGGCUCUGAUCCGGUCGACCAUCUACCAACAAGAUCUGCGCCGUUUCCACGCUCGAAAUGUGAGAGGUCGAGCCUUCCAGGAAGGGGAUCUGGUUCUCCGAGUGGAUCAGCACAAACCACAUAAGCUUGCUCCUUCUUGGGAAGGCCCUUUCAUCGUCACCAAGGUUCUCCACAACGGGGCGUACCGUCUUUACAACGUGGAGCAUAAUAUCGACGAGCCCCGAGCUUGGAACGCGGAGCUACUCCGCCCGUUUUACACUUAAGUUGUAUCACUCGGAUGAGUUGCAAUAAAGAACUUCUGUAAUCCAUGGGUUUAGAAAUAAUUGUGUCAGCACUUUUUAUUUUUGUCCACAUAAAAACUCCCCCUCAGUGGGUGGCUUAGCCGCGAAUCCGUUUUGCCUAAGUUUAUAAAAAUCCUACCGAGUGGUAAGCCAGCCUUCCACUCGGGGGCUUAGCCGCGAAUCCGUUUCGCCUAAGUUUAUCAAAAUCCUACCGAGUGGUAAGCCAGCCUUCCACUCGGAGGCUUAGCUGCAGCCUCGUGCUCGCCUAAGUUUUAAAAAUCCUACCGAGUGGUAAGCCAGACUUCCACUCGGAGGCUUAGCUGCAGCCUCGUGCUCGCCUAAGUUAUAAAAAUCCUACCGAGUGGUGAGCAACCCUCUCACUCGGGGGCUUAGCUGCAGUCCAAGCACUCGCCUAAGUUUUAAAAAUCCUACCGAGUGGUAAGCCAGACUUCCACUCGGAGGCUUAGCUGCAGCCUCGUGCUCGCCUAAGUUAUAAAAAUCCUACCGAGUGGUGAGCAACCCUCUCACUCGGGGGCUUAGCUGCAGUCCAAGCACUCGCCUAAGUNNNNNNNNNNNNNNNNNNNNNNNNNNNNNNNNNNNNNNNNNNNNNNNNNNNNNNNNNNNNNNNNNNNNNNNNNNNNNNNNNNNNNNNNNNNNNNNNNNNNNNNNNNNNNNNNNNNNNNNNNNNNNNNNNNNNNNNNNNNNNNNNNNNNNNNNNNNNNNNNNNNNNNNNNNNNNNNNNNNNNNNNNNNNNNNNNNNNNNNNNNNNNNNNNNNNNNNNNNNNNNNNNNNNNNNNNNNNNNNNNNNNNNNNNNNNNNNNNNNNNNNNNNNNNNNNNNNNNNNNNNNNNNNNNNNNNNNNNNNNNNNNNNNNNNNNNNNNNNNNNNNNNNNNNNNNNNNNNNNNNNNNNNNNNNNNNNNNNNNNNNNNNNNNNNNNNNNNNNNNNNNNNNNNNNNNNNNNNNNNNNNNNNNNNNNNNNNNNNNNNNNNNNNNNNNNNNNNNNNNNNNNNNNNNNNNNNNNNNNNNNNNNNNNNNNNNNNNNNNNNNNNNNNNNNNNNNNNNNNNNNNNNNNNNNNNNNNNNNNNNNNNNNNNNNNNNNNNNNNNNNNNNNNNNNNNNNNNNNNNNNNNNNNNNNNNNNNNNNNNNNNNNNNNNNNNNNNNNNNNNNNNNNNNNNNNNNNNNNNNNNNNNNNNNNNNNNNNNNNNNNNNNNNNNNNNNNNNNNNNNNNNNNNNNNNNNNAGUUUUAAAAAUCCUACCGAGUGGUAAGCCAGCCUUUCACUCGGAGGCUUAGCUGCAGCCUCGUGCUCGCCUAAGUUAUAAAAAUCCUACCGAGUGGUGAGCAACCCUCUCACUCGGGGGCUUAGCUGCAGUCCAAGCACUCGCCUAAGUUUUCAAAAUCCUACCGAGUGGUAAGCCAGACUUCCACUCGGAGGCUUAGCUGCAGCCUCGUGCUCGCCUAAGUUAUAAAAAUCCUACCGAGUGAAGAGUGAUCCUCACACUCGGAGGCUUAGCUGCAGUCCAAGCGCUCGCCUAAGCACAGGCACCUUGCUUUGAACCUGCAAAGGACAUUUUGAGCCGAAGGCAAUCAUAUUCAAGCGCCAAAUUCAAGUUUGAAUCGAUGUCUAAAGGAACCGAAAGUGCUCAGGCGUCAAGCCUGUUAAAGUUUGUCGAAUACAAUUCCACUCGGCAUACCGAGGCAAAUUUAAAAGAGUCGAGCCAGAAGAAGUUUUUUACCCCUCCUGUGGAGGGCUGGAAGGUGCGACGAAUUCAUCAAGGUCAAUUCCGUCGGCGAUCCGAGUGGCAGCUGCAAGGAAAGUCUCCAUAAAAGACCUGAAGUCGUGCUUCUUGGUAUUGGCCACCCGAAGAGCCGCCAGCUUCUCCUCUCGUGCAUCUUUGCAGUGGACUCGGGCCAGACACAGAGCGACAUCUGCACCACACCGAGCCGAGGACUUCUUCCAUUCCUGCACUCGACCAGGGAUCGCGUUCAAGCGGGCCAUUAAUGACUCAAGGUCAUUCUGAAGUGUCUCCUCAGGCCAGAGCGUCGAGUCGAUGCGAGAUGUGGCGGCCUUCAGCCUUGCGAGAUAAUCCACGACAGCUGCAACGUGAGACUCCAGUCGGAAAAUAUCCAUGGCAACCUCGUCAUUCACCGGAGAAUUGACAGGAUCAAGGUUUGGCUCCAGUCGGCUGGUUUCUUCUUCAAAGUUUUGACAAAAUUCUGCAAGGGUGAUCACUAAAUCAAGAGGAUAGUCGAAUGGAAGAAGCCACAGUCAGAAAUAUUUGCCAAACAUGGAGGUUUACCUUCGAGCAUAAGAAACAGCUUCUUGGCAAAGCCACUCAGGAAGGCCUCCAGCGCAGUCUUCUUCUCAGUAAAUUUGCUGACUUGAUCGGUCAAGGCAGCUUUGUCAGUUCUCAGUUGACUGACUUCUUUGUUGGCAAUCCCAAGAGCAGUUUUCAGGUUGGUAUUGUCUUGUUCAAGCUUGGUGACUGAAGCUAACUUCUCGUCAGCAAGCUUGAUCUUCUCAGCUAGCUCAAGGUCUUUCUUCUGCUGGGCCUCCCUUACCUUACCUGCAAGACACAGCAAGAUCAGAUGUUGAAACAAGCAAUUGGAAAAGCAGUCGUCAAGGUCUCACCAAACAUACCUUCAGUCUCCUCCUUCGCCUUUGUCAGCUUCUCCUGAACCAGCUUCAAGCUCAGCUCGACUUGAGUAUGUUUCUGUUCUAGUUCUGAGUAGCGAGCCACAAGAUCACAGGAGUUCUGCAAAGAACCAAUCGACUAAACGUCAAAAAUAAUUCACUUCCGAGUGAAAAGGGGAAAAACACACGUUUCUGAGACUACAGCCGAAUACAAGUAUUCGACCGUAGUCUCGGGGACUACACCCAGUGGGUGCACUCAGCGUGCCCCCACUAAUCCUGUCGAAGACAAAGUCGACCAGUCGACCUCAAAAAAAAAAAA
rnacentral:lncRNA from 1 species